UCUCAGGAAAGCCAGUACUUUUGAGAGAUCAUCUAAUCCGUUUUACACUCUCCGCUGCAUGCCAAAUGGUUUUGAGUAACAAGUACUUUGCCCAAUCUGAAGGGGAUGGAUCUGUAGUUACCUUUGAAGAACUCCAAGAGAUGAUAGAUACCUGGUUUUUGCUGGGUGGUGUGUUCAAUAUUGGGGAUUGGAUUCCGUGGCUCGACAGAUUUGACCUUCAAGGUUGCGUAAAGCAAAUGAAAGAACUUUACAAGAAAUUUGAUAGAUUCCAUAACCAUGUGCUUGAUGAUCAUCGGGCCAAGAGGAAAACGGAGAAAGAUUUUAUCCCUAAGGACAUGGUGGACAUUCUAUUGCAAUAUGCUGAAGAUCCUGAUCUCCAGGUUAAACUCACCGAAGAUCAGAUGAAAGGGCUAAUUCUGGUGCUAUUUCUUAUCAUUGGUUAAUCAAAUUUCCAGAUCUCUAUACCUCUUUAACUUACUGAAACUUAAAGCUAGCACUUUAGUUUAGCUUACUAUAAUGUGCCAUUAAAUAUAACUGUCUUUUUUCUUUUGAUUAAGAGGUUUUCUGCUUUCAAUAUGUUGUCAAGCAUGAUACUUCAUCAGCAUUUGAUCAUGGCAAGACUAAUUUUACCAAGAUUUGAUCAUGUCCAGGACUUACUGGCUGGUGGUACCGAUACCUCGGCGUCCACAGUAGAAUGGGCAAUGAAUGAACUUCUCAAACAUCCACAUCUCAUUGAAAAGGCAACCGAAGAGCUUGAUAGAGUGAUAGGGAGAGAUAAGUGGGUGGAAGAGGCUGAUUUCUCAAAGCUACCUUUUCUAGAGGCGAUCAUAAAGGAAACCUUUAGGUUACAUCCAAUAGCAACGCUGCUUCCACCCCACCAUGCCAUUGAGGAUGGCACUGUAGCUGGUUAUCACAUUCCUAAAGGAACAGUGGUGUUUAUAAACACACGGAGUAUAGGGAGGAACUCAAAGUAUUGGGAUUCUCCUGAAGAGUUCAUGCCAGAAAGGUAUUUGGAGAAGGAUAUUGACAUGAAGGGACAAAACUUUGCGUUAUUGCCAUUUGGCUCAGGUCGAAGGAGGUGCCCAGGCGAUAACCUUGGACUCAAACUUGUUCGAUCAACGUUGGCCAACUUGUUGCAUGGAUUCAACUGGAAAUUGCCUCAUGGCAUGAAACCAGAAGAAAUUUGCAUGGAAGAACUCUACGGAUUCAUAACUCAUCCAAGGACUCCAGUUGCUAUGAUCCCAGAACCACGUUUGCCGGUCAAUCUCUACUAGAGAUCGUAUGAUUUAAGGGAAAAUUGAAAUGUGUUCCUUGUUGGCAAAAUAAACCAAACCUAAAAAUUGUUAGUGUCAGAUUUUUAGUGGUUGUGUGAUCUAGAAAUUAAUAUUUUAUUUGGUAAUUUCUUAUACAAGUGGUUUCUUUCUCAAUAAGUUUGCUAGGUUAUAAAUAAGACAUUAUUUAGUAUAUUUUUUUAAGAGAGUCCAGAAAGAGUCUGUAAGGUUUUAUUAUGGUAUGAGUUUCUUGCACUAUUUUGAAAUAUCAAUAAUAGUGUGAAUUAUUUAUUUCUUUUGUCUCUCAAAAAUAUGUUAGUGAUUGUUUCAUCCUUUAAUCUAUAACCCUACGCGCAUUAGUUAUUAUUAGAACUUUAAAAUUUGGAAUCUACAAUUGGUAUCACAAGCCCAACACGAGGUUAGUUUUGGAUGUUUCCAUUGUCAGAGAAUUAAGGCAUUUCUGUUGUAAGAGAAUUCAGGCACAAAUUUAUUGAAAAGUAUUUGGUUGACUAAGUUAGACCACAAGGUUGGUCUUGAAGUGCACAGUUGGUGAGAAAUUCAAUCAUAAGAUUGGCUAAAAAAUUAUUAUAUUGUUACAGGUACUAUGACAGAGAUUAGAGAAGAAUCUUAUCAGAGUUGUUGAUUGCUGUGGAUUAUUAGAUUGAAGAAUUUAAUUAGUUAAUCAACCAAUGAGGCCACAAAACUUGAAAAAAGAGGAAAGAAUUCGUUGAUAUACGUGAGUUAUUAAUGAUGCGUGUUUUGAGAUCUAUGUAAUAAUGAAAGGUAUAGCAUACUAACUCCUAAAUAUAAAAGCCAAGAAUCAUAUUAUUGUUGAUUUUUAAGAGUAAAAAAAUAUCUCGAACAUUGCAAUUUAGAUAAUUUUCUUGAUGGAUUGUUACAAAUGAAUUACCAAAACAUGUUGUCAAGAGGAAUGCUAGAUUAUUUUUUCAAGUUAUGUGAAAAACAAUGUUUGACUGUACUUCAAAAUAUUUGUUCAUCGUACUAAAAUUUAUUUUGGAAGAAUAUUUAUUACGUUUUGAAAACUGUUGAAUUGAAUGAUGCUUUUAAAUCAAAAUUUGGUUAUUGGACAUGGUUAGUUGAUUUUGAGAGUGAUAGAUUUGUAGAUGACAUGGGUGAUUUAGAAGAUUUUGAAUGGGUUGAUAGUUUAGAUUUGCAUACCAUAUUUGGAGAAAUUGGGAGUGAUGAUUUUGUUGAAAAAAAUGUGUUAAUUUGACAAAGAAAGAAGAAAAUUUUGAUUUGAUAAGACAAGAAGAAGAUGAAAUUGCUAUUGAAAAAUUUGUUAGUUUGGACUUUCUUCAAGAUGAUGGUAAGAUGUUUGAUUUGAUAGAUAUGGAUUUAUUGGAGUUGAAAAAUAUUUUACUUCUAAAGAAUUGAUUGACAUUGUGAACUUUUUUUGGUAAUUGUGGUAGUGGAAUUCUUGAAUUGUUUGGUGAUGAUCAUUUUGAUAAAAAUGCAAACUAUGAUUUUGUAUUCUUAGGCACUUACGUUGGUAGUAAAUAUGGUAACUCUUGUGAUGAAUGGCUUUGUAUGAAUAAGUACUUUGAUCCAAAGGAAAUUAUUUGCAAAAUACAAAGUGCAAUUCACUGUCACGAGUAAAGAUGAAAUAAAAAUCGGCAACAAGAUAGAGUUGCAUAUCAAUUAUAAUAUGACAUAGAUUUGCAUGGAGACUGUUGCUCUAGAUAGAGUUGAACCUAUCUCAAUGAAGAGUUUGGUUUAAGAGAGGCAAUGUUAACAAAAUAAGCCAAGCCUAAACUUUUCUACUUAUUUAUUUACUAAUUUUAUUGGCAUCAGAUUUUCAGUAGUUGUAUGAUUUAAAAAUUUGUGUUUUAUUUGGUAACUAGUUUUGUACCCGUUCGUUGAACGGGAAUCGUCGAAAAAUAAUAAACUUUAGUCAAUUUAUAAAAAUGUCGAUAUAAAAUACAUAUUUAAUAUAUAAUCUAUUAUAACUUGUCUUAAGUAUAUUACUAUGUGCGCAUUGUAAUGUAAAGUAUUCUUAUAAUAUAAAUUUGAACAUCUAAUUCAGUGAAUAAUAAUUCAAAAAUAGAAAAAAUAACAUUCAACAAUACCAUAACAUUCAAAAACUUGAAAAUAAAUAAAAAGUGCAGUAAAUAGUAUCAAAUAAUAUUCUACUAUUCAAAAACUUGUUUUUGUUUUUUUCUGUUUGAACAUUCUCCUCGAUUUGUCCGUGUAAAUCAGCAUUUAUUGAUUUUCUAUUAUCACUGCAUGAUAGCAAAGUAGGAUAACUAAGUAUAAAAAAAAUAAAUGAUUUAUCGCAUUCAAGUUUGUGUAUAACAAUAUGUAAAGAUUAUAAUUAAGUAAAUGGCCAGAGUCUUUUAAUUAACUAAUGAAUUUGCAGAUAUAUCUAAUAGAGAUAUUUAUGUCUCUUGUAUUUAUAUCGCAUUACUUUCCAGUGCCUUUUGUUUUUUGUUAUUUUUUCUGAAGGCAAAUUAACAAACAUCGUAGUAUAUGAUCACAAAAAUCAAUUAACAAACACGUUAGAAAAAAUCCUACAAAAAUAACGAUGAAAGUACUUGUUUAAAUCCUAUGUCUUCAUACAAAAUAAAUAGAAAAUAAAACAAAAAAAAAUUCAAGAUAUGUUACUAAGCUCUUACAAUUGAAGAUCAACAUGCCUUUUUAAAAAAUAUAUAUAUAUAUAUAUAUUGAAAGAAAAUGUACCUGAUAAUCAAGAGGAGUGGAAACCCAAAAUCGAUACUUUAAUAUGCCAACCACUUGCACUGGAAAUACCUAACCAUGAAUUUGAUGCUUGAAAUCAAUAUAUUAGAGGCUAUAUGUAGUGUAGACAUAGGAAAUAAGAAUUGAUAAGAAUAUAAAGAAAUAUUGAUAAGAACAUUAAAAGUAUGUUUAUCUUAAUUUAAGUUGCUUAAAGUACGUAACUUUGGGUAGGAAAUAAGAAUCUUAUAAUAUUAAGAAUUCUUAUAGGAAAUAAAACCAUAAUCGUCCAAAUAACUUUGGGUAGGAAAUAAGACCUUAUGUGACCCGUACUAUGCACGUAUAUAAACCUGUACGUAAUAAAUUUACAAAUGCGUUAUGAAGAUAGAUUUUACCGACCUUAAAAUACCACCUCCACUAUAUCGAGUCCUUUAAGUGCAUGAACUCCUAUGGUAUGGGUCCACACACGAAAUACUCCCCACCAUUUGGGCAGAGAUGUAUUGUGAUUAAAGAAUUAUUAGCAGAAAUAUAUUAAAAAAAAAAGACGGGCGGAGGACACUACGGACGGAGGCCUUUCUCUUGGAUUGGAGGACACUACGGACGAAGGGUCGGGUAGGGGCCUUCGGGGUGCAAAACUCCAACAAAUAUCUAAUGUUUUUUCUCAUCUUUCUUUAGCUAUGAUAAUGGGAUUUUAUUUCUUUGGUUGAUGACACUCCAUUUUCUUUAUGGACUUUUCCAGAAUUUUUCAAUCAGAUAAAGUGCCAUUUCUCUUUGUACAUCAAUUAUGCAUGGGGACUGUGAGUCUUGUAAAAACUUUCUCGGGUUAAUUUUGUUUAAUUUCCAUGUCUAGAUUGUUUGUAUGUUGUUCUAUAUAUGGGUAGAUUAUCUUAAAAUAAAAAGGAUCCAUGAUGAAGCUGUUAAAAAAAAAAAGAAUAGGACACUAUAAAAAAAUAUAUUAUCAUUUAUUCCUAUAUAUCUAAUAGAGGAGAUUUAUGUCUCUUUUAUUUAUAUCGCAUUGCUUUCCAGUUCCUUUUUUGGGUAGGAAAUAAGAAUCAUAUAAUAUUAAGAAUUUUUAUAGGAAAUAAGAAUUGAUAUAUAUCCAAACAAAAAAGGAGCAAUCCACGUAGGAAACUACUUGCCGUCUCGUUAAGCCACGUAGGAAAGAGAAAAUAUGAAGGGAUAAGUAUGAGGAUACGACUUUAUUAUAUAUAUAUAUAUAUGAUUUCUUAUGCUAGUAAUUUCUUAAUUAACAAGUUUCCUAUAUAUAUAUAUAUAUAUAUAUAUAUAUAUAAAGGAGUUGUUGUGUGGCUGUUGGUUAAUUUUCAUCUAACCAUUUUGAGGGGUACAUUAGGCAUUUCAAUACCAGUGUACAAGUCAUUAAUGUUAGGGUACUAGCAUUCUAGGUGUAUUGGUAUGUACAUUACCCAACCUAUCCUUAGUGGCUUGAUGCUUCCACUCUGUCGAUGCUUAGUUAUAAAUAGGACAUUAUUUAGAGUGUUUUCUCCAGAGAGUCCGAGUCUGUGAAGUUUAUUAUGGUGUGACUUUCUUUCAUUGUUUUGAGAUAUCAAUAAUAGUGUGAAUUAUUUAUUUCUCUCCUCUCCUAUAAAUAUUUGAGUGAUUGUUUCAUCUUUCAAUCUAUGACUUUAUAUGCAUUAAUUAUUCUUAGAAUUCUAACAUUUGGGUUCUACAUUCCUACACUGUAUCACUCAAUGGUUGAACUCAUUCUCUGCUCUCCAAUUGUAUCAUGCCCUUGUAAUCGCUUAGCCCAUUGAAAGUGAUAGUGAUCGACAAAUUCCUACAAGUACAUAGGGGUCAAUCAGAGUAAUAAUUCACCUAAAAUAUUUUAGGGGUUGAAUCCACAUAGAUGAGUCAAUUUUCUACUUUAAUUAUCGUAACAAAAUAAUGAAACUUAAAUUCAAAGGAUUUUUAAUUACUAAUCAAGAAAUUGAAUAAAUAAUCAAAUCAAAUAAGAUAUAGGUGAGAAAAUAAUUGGCAAAAGACUAGGGUUCAGGUUUUAAUCCAUAUUUUGAAUUAUUUAUCUAGUUAAUUUCUUAACAUGCCAAGAAUAUAUCAUGCAAAAGUUUUAUAGAUUACCUUUUGAUACAUCCAAAUUGCGUCCAAUUAAAUUUCAUGUCUCUCCCAAAAUUAUAAAUAUUUAAUUAAAAGAGGUUUCUGACAAUUUCACUCGCAUCCCUCAGAUUUGAAUAAUUACACUAACCUCUCUUCAUAUAGCUAAAUGACUACAAUAUUCUUCACUUAUAAAUAAUUCAUACAAACAAAAAAAAAAUACCCUAGAACUACAACUAGUUUUUCAUUCUAAAGCAACAGUUGCCACAUAAAACAACUUUUAUUCUCUCUCUCCGACCCUUUCUCCUACUUUCUUUCUCCUGCAUCUCAUAGUUCACUAUUUUUUCGCAACUGCCAUCUACACAACCAUUUAAUAUAUCUCGAAUCCUUAUUAUUAUGGAAAUAGAUCCUCUUUCUUUUUUUUGUAAGUAUUAUUGAAUUAAAAUUGCCAAAUGACAGUUAUCGGAUUUGAUUUGUUGUUAAACUAAAUGAAGAUGAAAAGGAUGAUGGUGAUACAGAAUGCAGACAAGAAAAUAAAACUAAUGGCUAAAAAGGAAACAUGAAUUGAGGAAGAUUGUGUUAUUAUGUCAAUUGUGUAAAAAAGAAUUUUGGGAUAAAAAUUGCAAUUGAAUUUGCCUAGAGACAUGGGAUGUUUUUUCUAGUGUUGCUUUUGGUUGCUCCGUGUUGGUUUUCUUAGUGGGUUUGAUUAUUUUAGCAUCAACGAAGUUGCAACAUUUUGGAUUGAGUUUGGAUAGUGACAUUGGUCAAUUCAAGCACUGAAUUUAGACCCCAAAAAAAAUGAGGUUAAAGAUUAGGUUGAAUGCAAACUUUUAUUGUCAUAAUUGAUUUGUAUGGGAAGUUUUGGGACAGCAAUGGUAGGCUGUCAAAAUUGUGAGAAUAUGGGGAUUAAACUGAAGUGGUUUAUUGAAGUUGUUAUGGUGGUGGUUAUGUUGCUUACAAUAGUUGUAACGUGGAAGAAAUUUAUUAGUGUGUUUUUCCCCUUCUAAGUAAUAAAGGGGUAUUUUAGGAUUUUUAAGAACAAAUUUAGUAUAUUGAGUCUAUAUUGUUACUGAAAUGUUAAUCAUAGGGGAGGUAGGUGUAAUUUUUUAAACUAGAGGGGAGCUUCCUGCAAUAAUAAAAAAUCUCAAGGGAGGUUUCUGAAAUUAUCCCGUAAUUAGGUUAAGCAUAUUUAUCUAUCUAAUACAUGAUUAUAUAUCUCUUCUCAGUUCAAUACAAAUCCUAAAACAUGUCUAUGGUGGCUAAUCACAAAUAUGUAAUUAAGACAAGAUAAAUAAAUCAAGAUAAAAGUCAAGAAUUUAACUAGAAUAAAUAAUCAAUUCUCUUCAAAAAUUCCUAACCCUAGAAGUAAAUUAGUUCAUCAUAAUUGUAAGAAUAAACAAGAAUUCAAUAUUGAAAAUACAAGACGUGGAAUAAAGCGUAAGAAAAGUUUCUUACCGACUCCAGAUCCCGUGUCUUGAUUGUCAAUCUCGAUUCUUCAAUUCCUAAAGAAAGCCAUAGAACUAAUGUUUUGACAAGUGUUUUAUCUCCUAAAAAUGUUCUAAGUACUCCCAUUUAUAGUUUUCUAUAAUCUCUGUUGAAUCUCGAAAGGAAUACGCUUCUUGAAAUUGAAGAAAACGAGCCCCGCAUAGUUUUUUUAUGACAUCCGGUGACAAGUCAAUUUCAAGAUCAAAUUUCCACGCGUUUGGAAUACAUUUCCUCCUCGAUCUCACUUUUUUGCAAGUUAGGAUCCAAUUAAAGCACAAAAAGGCAUAAUCAACCAAUAAUUUACAUGUGUAACAUUGCUAAAAUCCACACCCUACUAGAGAGCUUGGGAGUUGGGACAGUAAAUUUCACCUAAGAAAACAUUAAAGAGACAAUAUUCCUUUUGGGGAUUUCUAUUGUGAAACAAAAUAAAAGUCGCAACCAAACUUUUGUCUUUCUUUAAAUUGCUUUUGGUGAAUUCUAUAUUAUGAAACAAAACGAAAGUCACAAUCAAAAUUUUUUUUUGCUACAAAACGAAAGCCAAAAUAUCACAAUUAUAACAUGUGGAAGAUUUCACAUGGAAAUAUUGAAGAUUGAAGAGAGAGAUAAAAAAAAAAAAUAGCUCCCUUGUUGCUUGUUAGCAAUGAAAAUAGGUACAUAACGGAAUUAAAUGUCCUACCUAUACUAAAAGCAGGAGCUUACAAUUGAGGUUGGAAUUGGGUUGACUUGAUUGUCACUUUAUUUGCAUGUGCUCCUUUUGUCUGGUAAAUAGGGAUCUUAAUCAUAUAAGUCAUAAGAUCAGUGUGCAUCGCUAGACUUCAUCGAAGAUCAGAAAUUUUGGAUUUCUCCGUGUUAGUUUGUACUGAUUGUAUAGUUCCCUCAAGUCUUUACUUAAAAUUGUAAAAAUUUUAUCUAUAAAAUCCGGUAUCGUUUCGAUAAAAAAAAAGAAAAAAAGAUUGUCCCUUUAUUCCAAAGCUGAUUGCACCAUUUUUGAGGUAGCAAUUGUUGUAAUUUUGAGCAACUUCAGUGGCAAUUGAUAACAUCGACAUACGUCAUCUUGGUCUCUUUUUCCGCUUCCAUUAAAACUCUGACGGAACCGACUGAUACGGCAGAAAGUAGCCAUUGUUCCAAUUACACAUCCAUUUUCAUGCUUAAUCCCUCUCACCCCUCUCAAUUUUGCUUUCUACAUAAAUUUUUUUUUUCCCAUCAACUUUUUUAAGUUUUUUUUUUUGAUGGAGUUUUGUUUCAGUACGUUUUUGUUAACUAAUUUGUAAGUUUUUUUUUUUAAUGAACUGUGAAUUCUCGCAAAAUUGAAACUCUGGACAAAUGGAAGGAAGGGAUAUGCUAAUCAGGUUUAAGUCAAUCAAUUUGCCUUGCAAUUGUCCAAAGUAUUAAAGAAUUUAAUGCGGUUUCUUAUAGUCCAAUUAAGUUGUGCUGAUAUGAUGAUGACAUAAAGUACUCUGGACCUGGAGUAUAAUUUUUUUAAAUUUGACUUUGCACCAUAAAGUUUAGUUAAUGACAAUUUAGUACAUAAAACUUCUAUUUCAUGCUACAAGCGCCUACAAUCCAAUUCAUAACUGUAUGCUAAUGAUGGUUGAACAUAUAUAAGUUACACAUUUGAGAAGCAAAAUUAUCCUAGUCUCUUUAGCAUUGAUGAAUUAGUGUUUAAUUAUGGCAUUUCAAUUUAACCGUUGACAAGUAAUUGUGUGACAAGUCCCUGAAAAAUGAUUGUCAAUAUGAGAUAGAGAUAGAGAUAAAAGUAGGAUGUAUCUAAUUUUACAUUUCUCUUAUCAGAAUUGUUGAAGAGUCUGGAAAAUAUUCCAAUAACAACAGUCUCUAAUCCAUGAAAAAAAAAAUAAUCUUAUUCAUCAAAGUCAUGAUUUUGAUAUCCUUCAACGAAAGUAACACAGACUUGCUUCUUUUUUUUUUUUUUGAGAUUGAUGGAAGGAAAAGAAAUAAUCAAGACUUCAAUAAUGGAAAGGGAAACAAGAAUAACGCUAGGCAAGACGGCAUGGAUUUCAAAUGUUUUUUUUUUCCAGCGUUCAAUUCCCCUGGAGUCUCAAUAUUUGGAUUGUAGGUUUUUUAAGAAAAAAUUUUUACAUUUUUCAUGAACACAUUUUUUAAUUAUUUUAUUAUUUUAUAUAUAUCAAAUUAUUAUAAUAUUUUUUUUACAAAAAAUUUUAAAAAAUAACAAUCUAAACGCAAUUGCAGCACUAGUGCUUAGCAAGCUUGAAACAACCCUCUCGAAUUAAGGUGUGAUCAUUUUGACCAAAAAAAAAAAAUUAAGGUGUGAUAAUGCUGCACGUCAUCUACGAUUUUUCAGAUUCCUACUUCUUCUAUAUUUUGACAAACGGCAUGUCUGUGUCUAGCAAGAAGUGUGAUAGUGCUGUACGGCAUCAACAAUUUUUUAGAUUCCUACAACUUCAAUACUUUGACGGGAUAAUUUUAAAAAACCUCCCUUGAGAUUUUGAUAAUUUUACUCUGCUCUCCUCAAUUUUAAAUAAUUAUGCUUACCUCCCUUGACAUAAUAAAGUACUUAUAAUGACCUUCACUUAAUAGACAAUUCACAGUAUAAUACAAUAUAUUUGUAAAACCAAAAAAAAAAUCAUAUUUAUCUAUGUCUUGGCUAGCUCUACUCUUCUCUUUUCUAGUUAUUAUACUGUCAUAUUCUCUCUUUUUUUCUUCAGUUUUAUAGAUAUUACCAAAUUGAAAUUGUAAAAUUAGUAGUUCAAUUGAAAUGACAAGACUCGGAGUCAUAGAGAAAAAAAAUAAUGAAAUUAAUGAUUGAAACAGGUUGGAGGAUCAAAGAUGAAAAAUUUACCAUAUAUUUUUUUUCUGUGGCAAGCAUUGAUGAUCCUUUGGAUAGUUGCUUUGAUUUGGAACUAGAGUUUUUACUUAGGUGGUUGUUAUGAAUUGGGAUGGUGGAUUUGUGCAGAGUGUGAAAGAAAAGGAUCGAGUAUACUGUAUUUUUUUUUUUUACUUUUGUAUUAAAGGGUAAUUUAGGAUUUUUGAGAAAAAAUCUAGUUUGUCGGACUUAUAUUAUUAUAUAAACAAUAAAAAUAAGGAGUUAUAUGUAAUUUUUAAAAUUAAAGAGAGCUCUUGCAAUUAUGAAAAAUGUUAAGGAAGGUUCAUGAAAUUAUCCCAUACUUUGACAAAAGACGUGUCAAUGUCCGGCAAGACGUGUUAUAAUGCUGCACGCAUCAAUGAUUUUUCACAGCCCUACGACUUCAAGACUUUGACAAAAGACAUGUCUGUGUCUGGCAAGAAGUGACAUAAUAUAAUAAAGAGCAAAUUUUCCAAAUAGUCCUUCAACUUUUUAACUAAUUCACAUUUGGUCCUUCAUCUUAAAAAUGAGAUAGAAUGAUCCUUCAACAAAAUUUUUUAGACCAAAUUGGUUCUUAUAUGGCAUAGCAGCCAAGAAAAAGUUGGAUCAAAGUGGUGAUGAGAUUUGAAUUUUCUUACCUGUUCCGUCACAUAGGGACCAAUUAAGCCUAAAAAAUUUCGUUGGACAGCCAUUAUGUCCCAUUCUUAAGAUGAAGGAUCAAAUAUGAAUUAGUAAAACAUUUGAAUGACUAUUUGGGGGACUUGCUCCAUAAUAAAAUUGAAAAGCUGGGAUGUUUGGAAAAUAUUUAGAGGCUUGUAGCAAAGUGUGUUAAUGGGAAAAAAAUGAUUUGAUGGGCAUACCCAUGAGAUAAUCUUGACCUAUUGAACUUGAAGAGGACACGGCUGCUGUGGAAAUUAUAAGUACAAAGACAAUUCGUGGUUUCUGAGCUACAGCAAUGAGUGAUAUUUUUAGGAACAUCUGUUGGGGUUUUUGAUAAUUAUGUAGUAUUCUUAAACUUCUAAAAAUAUCACUUACCUCUCUCAUUUGAAGUCAACAUCACAAGUCACCAAUAUUUUUACCCUCAAUACUAUAGGUUUAUUCUGGAAAAAUACUUUCCAACCAAAAGAAUUGGCAUGAUUUUCUUCUUUUGCUUUUUUUUUUUUUUUGAAUUUUGGCCUGUUUUAAUGAAAAUGUCGCAUAUAUUAGUCCCAAUUCAGGAGCUUAUAUUUUUGGGUGUAAUUCUUUUAUGCCAGUUUACCUACCACAUUCCCCGCAUUAAUUUCACUGCCUUCAUAUUAUUGGAAGAGGUUGUAUUUUCAAUACCGAAGUAGAGCCUGUUUUAGGGUUUUUUUCCUCCGCUCUCAAUUUUUUUUCUUAGUUUUGGCUCUCAAAAUUUCUGGUUCUGGCCUUGCAAUUAGAACCACUUUUUUUUUUUUUACUAAUAUUGAAAGAUUUGGUGAAUCGGAUGACUUCCCACUUGAAUUUCAAGUGACCAAUCUAGUUUUCUCUAUUUCUUGACUUUAUAUUUUAGAAUAUGUUCAUCAAUGUUUCAAUUCUUUUCAUCUCAACUCUCUCCAUAUGCAUUUCGAGCAACAUAAGUAUCCGUUCCGAUUUCAACAAUAAUGUGCUUAAUAGUUGUUAUAUAUUGUUAUAUUUAGUUGCAUUACAAUAACAAACACUACACAAAAUUUUCUUGGAUUUUAAAUCUUUUAUUAAUACUAAUAAGGAUUUUGGAUAAUGAAGGAACAAGACAACUGAAAGGGCAAUUUUGAAAUAAAAAUAUGCUCAUUUUACUUAAAUGAAUCAUUUAAUCUUACUUUGCUUCUAGUUAGGGGUGGUAGAUGAAUCGAGUUACUCGCAAGGAAUUUAGUCAAAGCUCUACUCGAACUCGAGUUUGACUGAUAUUCGAGUCAAUUAUUGAAUCGAAUUCAAGCAUCUAGGUAAUUGUUAAAUUACCUAAAAACCUAUAUUUUUAGAAAAAAUUGUCUUACCACUCAAGCUGGAAUUUGAUCUUAAUUUGCUUCUUGAGCACCUUUAUCUUUCACAUGAGCCGAACUUGACCUUCAAAGUUGAUGAGCUCAAACUGAGUUUGAGCUCAAGUAAUGUCUUCAAGCUCAUCGAGCUCUAGCUUGAAUACAUUCUGUAUUUGAGUUUGACUCCGUUCAUUGCCAUUCCUAUCCUAGUCAUUGGACAUGUUACAAAAUAAUUUAUUUUGGGGAGGUUAAUGAGAUUUUCAAAAGUUUAGAAGUUCCAAGCGGUAUUCACAAACACCUUAGGGAAGGUUUUCGAAAUUAUCCGAAGAAUCAAUUCAAAGCCAAUUAAUGGAUGUGGCACAGAUUAACCUUAUCAAUCAUGACCGUGUGCAUAAAGCCCCCACUGGAGAUCGGCAUUCAAACACCCAGUGGAGUUCAUUGCCAUGCUAACUUAUUUCAGCCCUGAUGGAGACUUGGCUGCCCUUAGCCUUGGCAUGGGUUGUUGCAUUGGCUUUUCUCUCAAAAGUAUCCACUCGCAAACGCCUAAAGCUAAAUCAUCCACCAGGACCAAAACCAUGGCCUAUUGUUGGCAACUUGAAACUCCUAGGUUCAAUCCCACAUCAAUCCUUACACUUGCUGUCCCAGAAAUAUGGAGAAAUCAUGCAACUAAAAUUUGGUUCCAGCCCUGUUGUAGUAGCUUCAUCCCCUGAAAUGGCAAAAGAAUUCUUGCAAACACAUGACAACAUCUUCGCUUCUCGGCCUACAACUGCUGCUGGCAAAUACACUAGCUAUAACUGCUCCGAUUUGACAUGGGCACCUUAUGGUCCAUUCUGGCGACAAGCUCGUAAACUUUAUCUUACCCAAAUAUUUAAUCCAAAGCGACUUGACUCCUUCGAGAGCAUACGCAUUGAAGAAAGGCGUGCUUUCAUUUCUAGCUUGUAUGCUCUCUCAGGAAAGCCAGUAGUUAUGAGAGAUCAUCUAACACGUCUUACCCUCUCCACUGCAAGCCAGAUGGUCUUGAGUAACAAGUACUUUGCACAAUCUGAAGGGGAGAGAUCUCUACCUACCUUUGAAGAAUUCCAAGAGAUGAUAGAUACUUGGUGUUUGCUGAGUGGUGUGUUCAAUAUUGGGGAUUGGAUACCAUGGCUCGACAGAUUUGACCUCCAAGGUUAUGUAAAGCAAAUGAAAGAACUUCACAAGAAAUUUGAUAGAUUCCAUAACCAUGUGCUUGAUGAUCACCAGGCCAGGAGGAAAACAGAGAAAGAUUUUAUCCCUAAGGACAUGGUUGACAUUCUAUUGCAAUACGCUGAAGAUCCAGAUCUCCAGGUUAAACUCACCAGAGAUCAGAUAAAAGGGCUAAUUCAGGUGCUCUUUCUUCUCAUUGUUUAAUCAAAUUCCUAGGUCUCUUUGCCUCUUUAAGUUACUGAAUCUCAAAGCCAGCAGUCAUGCUUAGUAUAAUGUGCCAUUAAAGAUAACUGUCUCCUUUCUUCUAAUUAAGAGUUUUUUAUUUCCUUUCUAGAUUAAUAGUAUUAUAAUAUUUGAUCAUAGAGGCACUAACUUUACCAUUGUGUUGCUGACCAGAACGUGCUAUUAAAGAUAAGUGCCUUCACCCUCAAAAAAAAAAAAGGAUAACUGUCUUCUUUCAUCCUUCUGAUUAAGAGGGCUUUGUUGAAUUUUCCAAGAUUCCAAUACGAGAUUUUUAUCUUUUAUCGUUUGGGAAAAAAAAAUACGAGAUUUUUGAAUACAACUAUGAUAUAAACGCGUACCAUUUAUAAAACUAAUCUCUGAAAAAAAAAAAAACUAUUAACUAGAUUCACAUUGAUUCAUUGCUAUUUUAAUCCUUUAAAUCUUAGGCUGGCAUUUCAAAUCAACAUGUAUUCUUUUAUCCUUAAAGAGGAUUCUUCAAUUUCUCUCGGUAUCUGGGAUAUACGAACUAUUUUGCAAAACCAAAGUAUACGACAUAAAAAUGCAUGUGAUCCGGGGAUUAUAACUAUAAUAUAAAUAACUUUUCUAUUAUCUUUUGGUAUUUCUAUUUUAAUCCAUCAUAAAAAUAGAAAUUAUUCACAAGUCUCUAUACAUUAAAAGUUCAUAUCUUACUAAAUAUAUUAAAAUUAUAAUUAUAAUUGAUUACUUAAUUGGAUUUAAUCUAAUUUGACAGUUUGCAAUACAUAAUUAUUCACAUAUAUAAGUCUAGCUUUGGAUCUAGGAUCCAACAGUUUUUUUCCUUCCAAUCUGUUGUAAAUCAUGAUACUUCACCAAUAUUUAAUCAUGGCAGGACUAACUUUACCAUUAUUUGAUCAUGGCCAGGACUUGCUGGUUGGUGGUACCGAAUCCUCAGCCCUUACAGUAGAAUGGGCAUUGAAUGAACUUCUCAAACAUCCACGUCUCAUUCGAAAGGCAACCGAAGAGCUUGACAGAGUGAUAGGGAGAGAUAAGUGGGUGGAAGAGGCUGAUUUCUCAAAACUGCCUUUUCUAGAGGCGAUCAUAAAGGAAACUUUUAGGUUACAUCCAGUGGCAACGCUACUUUCGCCCCGUUAUGCCCUCGAGGAUUGCACUGUAGCUGGUUAUAACAUUGCUAAAGGAACAACGGUGUUUAUAAACACAUGGAGUAUAGGGAGGAACUCAAAGUAUUGGGAUUCUCCUGAAGAAUUCGUUCCAGAGAGGUUUUUGGAGAAGGAUAUUGACAUGAAGGGACAAAACUUUGUGCUACUGCCCUUUGGCUCAGGUCGGAGGAUGUGCCCAGGCUAUAACCUUGGAAUCAAACUUAUUCGAUCAAUGUUGGCAAACUUGUUGCAUGGAUUCAACUGGAAAUUGCCUCAUGGCAUGAAACCAGAGGAAAUUUGCAUGGAAGAACACUACGGACUCACAACUCAUCCAAGGAUUCCACUUGCUAUGAUCCCAGAACCACGUUUGCCGGUCAAUCUCUAUUAGCAAGUAUUGAUUUAAGGCAAAAUUGAAAUAUAUUCCUACUCUGCAUCAAUCAAAGGUUAAACUUAAUCUCCCCUCUCCAAUUGUAUCAUGCCCUUUUGAUCACUUAGCUCCAUUUAGGUGAGAGCUUGGGAGUUGGGACAGAGUAUAUUUGACCUAAGGAAACUUUGAAGAGACGAUACUCCUUUUGGUGAUUUCUAUUGUGAAAUAAUACAAAAGUCACAAUCAUGCUGGUUUUCUUUUCUUUCUUGAAAUUGCUUUUGGUGAAUUCUAUAUUGUGAAAUAAAAGAGAAGUCACAAUAUAUUUUUUUUGCUAAAUAAAAAAAGUCAAAAUAUCGCAAUUAUGACGUGUGGAAGAAUUGACAUGGAAAUAUUGAAGACUGCAGAGCGAGGGGGAAAAACUGGCUCUUUUGUUAGCAAAGAAAAUAGGUACGCAACGGAAUUAAAUAUAGCAUCUCAAAAAUUUGAUGAACAAACAAGGAGGCCCUCAAUUAGAGCCACAAGUCUUUUCAAGUUCUCGAGAACAAAAGAUAACAUUCACGAAAGCAGAGUUGGCGCAACUUACUGGACCAGAGAAGGAACAAAACUAACCUUGUGCAAUGACCAACUUUAUGAUUGGUUCGCACCAGGCCUGUAAAAAAGACAAAACAAAUCUGACUUCUUGACUUCAUACUACUAACACAUGUUUCAAUAAGGCAAUGCUAACUAUGAACCCAAUUCCUAUGCAACUUCAAGAAUCUAACCAAACAGAUUGAACAGAGACACCCAAUUUAAGUAAAACUAGGGGUGUCGAGGUUAAUUAAGUAGCUCAUGAGUUUGCUCUGUCAAAGUUCUAAAACUUUUCAUUGGUCAGGUUUAAGCUGGAAUUCGAGCAGUUCAAGCUACUUGACGAGUCGAGUUCGACUUUAAUAUAUGAAACUCGAAAGCUUGUCAAAGUUAAUCGAAUUCAAUUGAGCUUCAUGCACACAUAUAUUAAUUUUUUAUAUAUAUAUUCUAAAAAUGUACGAGUUGGCAUUGGUUUUGGGCUAAAUAUAAUUAAGUGAAUAUGAAUACAUCUCAAAUUAAAUUCAAUUAGAAAAUGAGUUAAAUUAUCUUACCACAACAUUGCAUGAAAAAAAUAAAAAUUGUUGUACCAUAAAAGUUUUACUAUAUGGAUGAUAGGUGUCGAGCCUGUGCAAUAAUAAAAAUAGAACCUAACUACCACUAAAAGCAGUCAAUAAUUAAUCCUAGGUACUGGAGCAGGGACUCUAGGUAUGUAAUAGGUUACUUGAUUCACCCUGUUCCCGAAGAGUUUGCUUAACCCGAUAUACCAGAAUUAAUUAAUUGACAAAAACUACUAAAUAGUAGAUAGUGGCAAGCAGAGUUGUCUCCUCAAGGAUUGGGGAUAUUUGUCUCUUGAAAUUCCAAUUGGUAAAGGGGGAUUUUAUCAGAAUGAAACUAAAAACAAUUAAGCAAUUCAACUAAAAAUAAAUAAUUAACUAGCACGAAUAUAGCAGGAAUUAAAUCAAGACUAGAUAAAUUCUAGCCAAGGAUGCAACUAUUCAGACACAGUCCACUUACUCGAUCAUGAUUAAUAGGCUAGUUAUAAUCGCCGACGAACUCUAACGAUCAAUUUUUCCUUAAUUUAUUGAUAACCAAGAUAAGACCAUUGAUUACUCCUAACCAGAAAAUAUUCCUAGGUACGACCGUAGGAAUUAAUUUCUCAAUUGCAUUAAGAUCUAGAAAAACCUAACCCCAAUCAAUAACACGCUACGAGGGUUAUUUAAAUUAAAUUGCACGUUCUCCUAGUGUGUAAACAUGCCAGUUGCCACUAAUAUUAAUCAAUCAAACAAUUACGGAUUUAAUUGACUAAUUUAGCAGGAGAUUAAUAAGUCACAUUGAACAUCGGACCCUUGACAUCCAAUUAACAAAAUAAUCCCAUGGAAAUUCAAAUAGGUAACGUGCAAAUAUUAACAAAUUAAGAAACGCGUGAAAACUAAUUAGAUCUCACAGAUAUUCGGGACUGCGCCGUCGAGUUGAUCCUUGACUAGAUGAAAGGCUUAGCCACGCCGCAUAAAUAAACCUCCACGCAAAUUAAUUGACUGUAAAAGCAUCGCAUUUGUCACUAGAAAGCAAGAGGUAAAAGCUAUUUUUCUAGUAUGGAAUUACAUCGAACAGAAGGCACGCAUGCCAAGUAGAAGAAAAGAAACUAAAACUCUUGCUUAAGAGAUGUCCCUGGCCUCUGUACCUUUUUUUUUCUUUUCAAAGCCAAAAGGAAAUAACUAAUGCUAUCUCCUAGUGGUCCCCACGCAAUUGAGAGUCAAAGAGCCAAAGAGUCGGAGCUCUGCCGAAAUCCUUGUUUUUAGUUUCCUCUUCGUAAGAAAACUCCUAGUCAGUAGCUAUCUAAUCAGCAAAAGAAAUGCAAUCCGUCUGUGGCACCAUGUGGGCCAGGUCUGUGGCUUGUUUGAAGUCUCAAUUGUCUCCAAAAAAUCCCUCCUUUUUUGUAGUUUUCUGCUCCACCUCCUAAAAUUGAGUCCAAAUAUCAAAUAUAAGUAAAUAUUAAUAAUUAAAAUAAUAUUUGGCAAGGACAAAGGGAAAAAUUAACAAUAAAAUUACUAACAAUUAACACCUUAUCAAUGGAUUGAAGCACAAAUUAGAUUGCUCUUUUUAAGAUAAUUUGCGCAUAUGAAGUAUUAUCCGAUGCAAUAGGUUUUAGCAUGUCGCUUCUAACUUGUUUUUGAUUGCAGUUUAUCCUAAUCCAUACCAAUAGGUUGGACAAAAACUUAACACAACAGUGUUUUUUUUUUAAUACCAUAAAAGCUUUACUGCAUGGAUUGAAGCACAGAUUAGAUUGCUCUCUUUAAGAUAAUUUGCACGUAUGAAGUAUUAUCUGAUGUAAUAGGUUUUAGCAUGUUGCUUCUAACCUAUUUUUUACUGCAAUUUAUCCUAAUAUACCAAUAGGUUAGACAAAAACUUAACACAAUACUGUUUUUACUUCAAAUGAAAUUUAUACUAUAUAUAAAGGGAGAGUAGUGAUAGUUGGUAUAAAGAUUUUCUGUCAUUUUUAUGAACUUUCAAUUUUACCCCUUAGAAAAACUAAUUUGUUGUCCUAAUUACUUGAUCACAUUUGCCAACAUCGCUGCUCAUAACUACACUAAAUAUUCCAGCUACCAAAUUAUCUAUUUUUUAAUUGAAGGAAAAUUAUUUAUAAAUUGAAGUUUGUUAAUGAAAAAUUCUUUUAAAAUUUAUUUCUGCGAAAAUAAAAUUUGUGAAUUUAUAAAAAUAAUAAUUAUCUCUAAAUUGCACACAUACUCGGUGUGCCUUUAACACUAGUACAUAUAACAUAUCUAAAACUAGUUUAGUAUUAGUAGAAUAUAGUAGAAGAAUCUCCUUAUCAAGAGUAAGAAAUAUAGGUGUAACAAUAAUGUAAGAUAUCUGUUGUUUGAACAUUUAUUUAUAGGUAGAAUAUCAUAUGAGUACAACCUUGACAAUUGACAUUAAAUCUAAUGACAAUACAAAAUUUUAGUUUGAAAAUACUAUUGCUUGUAAUGCCAUGUAUAACGGUCAAAUUAUUAUGAAAAUAACAUUAGAAAAGUUUCUCAUUUUUGUUAUCAAAUUUGCAAUUGAAAAUCAUUGAAUAAUAAUUGUAAUUUUUUUUGUUAAAUUACUCCAACAAUACCCCCUUUUAUUUUAAUAACAAAUAAGUGGGGGACGUGAAACCAUUUAAUUUUACAUAACAUUGUCUUAGAGUUCUAUAUAGUCCCUUCCUCAACUUUCAUUUAUUUUUUUCCAAUUCACUCAUCUAGUAGCUAAAGGUGUGCACCUUAAUCAAAUUCUUACUUUUUAGAUCUACCUACUACUGUCCUAACACACCACGAAUCAAUUCAAUACCCUACUAUUGCAAUACUAAAACGACUCAAUGAUGUCCUAACACAUCGUUCUUGGGCUGAUCCUGUGAGAUCGAUUUUAGUGCUUCUGUGAUUUUUGUGGUUCGGCGUUAUAAUCACUGAUGGCCGACUUUUCUGUUCAUUCUUCGAUAGUAAAGUGUUGGGCAGUUACUGACCAACAAAUGCUUUGAUGAAGAAGAGUUUGUACUUUGUAGCAUUAUAAAAUUGAGAACGGAUAAAUUGUACUUGUUGGCCCGAUGGAUACGAAAUCUUGUGGCACGUCUAUUCUUCACUAAAGUUAUUAGAAUUGGGCCACAGAUUUACAUGAAUCUUCCUCCAUCUUCUCUGUUAAUUACGGCUUUUUCAAAUCGAGUUUGUAAUUUUCAAGUUGAGCUUUUAUCUUCUUCAGCAAAUAGCAUCCAAUUUAAGGUACUUAAGUUUUGGCCUUUACUCAUUUGACUUUAUGUUAUGACCUUCCGUCUGAUACGUUGUCGGGUAAACGGGGCCUCACAAGUUUCAUUUCAUACAAAUUGGUGUAAAUUAAUACUUUACUUUCAACUUGCAUCAAAUUAUCUUUAAUUUACACUAAAUGAUAAUAAUUAACUUAUACCAAACGGUACUUAAUUUACACCAAAUAAUAACAAAUCAACAUACAUUGAAUUGUAACUUAUUUACAUUAAACUUGACCUGAUUUAUACGAAAAUCUUAUUAAUUUAUACCAGAGGUCAAUUUGUGUGAAAUUGUACGAAACAUAAAUUGCGAAUCCCCAGAUCCUGUUGUAGGAUAUUCCUCAAGAUGAUUGCCUUGAGUUUUUUCUUGUUAAUUUUUAGUGUUUUUUAAUAGCUGUUUUUAAAGUGUACGUGAUGUGUUUUUAAGGUGUAUUUUGGAUAGAUAAUCAGUGAGCCCGUGCUAUCUCCUUUGACGGUGAUGCGAACGGUCUCAUCUGCAUUAAGAUGAAUAGGCCGCAAUGGAUCUUCACUGGCAAAUUGUUUUCUUUGUUUUUUGAAAAAAAUUGCUUGGAGUAUAAUAAAGUUUAAUUUCAUGAAAAGUUUGUUUAGGAUUUGAUUAUAGACCGUUGAUAAUAUUUUACUAUAAAUUAAUAUUUCGUUUACGUUGUAUUUGUGAUUCAUACUGUUGGUCAUGUAAUUAUUGUCCUUUGUAGAAUUUACAAUUUAUAAGAACUUAAUCAUGAAUAUGUUCCAAAACAAUUACACUACUGAAGCACAACCUGAAUUAUAUAUAAACAAGCUAUAAAAGUGUAUUUAAAAUGGUAGUAGAUUAAUUGAACAAAACUACAAAACUACUGCACUAUUUAAAAUGGUUGUUUUUGACAAAUUUCAAUCCAUGAUCAUUAGCUCAAUCAACCAUAAGAAUCCCCAAAUUGACUUCACUUCUAAUAACUUUAGACAUUUUAUUUUUUUAGUUGUUGUCAAUCAUUUCUCGAGAUGUGAUGUCCCUUGGAUUUGUCGACCUCGUGCGACGUCGGCGUCAGUUAAGAAUGCUUGGUUGUCUUCCGGUAGGAAAUUUUGCUUUUGCUUGGUUGUCAUGUCCCUUUACUAUUGCUUCCCUUUCUGCCAAGACGCCUUCGAGUUCUAGUCGUGAUUGUGCUUGGUUGUAUUGUAAUGGGAAAUUUUGGAUAACAAAUCACCUCACAGGAUACCACUAAUCACUUGACCUGGAAAUUGGAGGUUUUGCCAUUUAAGUCGAUUUUCUGGUUUAGCUCCCCAUGUCUAGAGACACCUUUUUUGUGAUAAUUUCCUUUUGAUUAAUCCAUACAUAAUAUUGAACGUUCAUGUUAAUCGAUUGUCGAAACUUCUAAUUUGCUAAUAUUUGCUGCUUUUUUCCAAUAUCUGCAAACAAAAUAUGAUCACUUUUGUUUUUUUUAUAUGAUAAUAGUCAUACCGUGAUCAUCAUUUAGUUGGGAAAGAAUAUGUUGAAUAUUACAAAGCAGAAAGUUUAAGUGAAAAAUUUUGAAUUCGAAACCUCUUACUUUAUUAAAAAAAAAAAAAACUAUGAUCAUUAUUUAGAACGGCAAUGUCAACAUCCUCUGUUGUAUCCGGUAAUUGCUGCUUCGUUUCAAGCAAAACUAUCAGUAUCUGCCGUUUGUAAUUUUAUGAUAUCGUAAUUGUAAAGAAAUUUCAUUCUUCUCUUUCCAAUUGUCCAUAGAUUUUCUAUGGAAGCUGUGCCCCCGGUGAGUUUUCUAUCAGGGCUCCGUAGAUGAUGGUGUAUCUCAUUAGACCGCAGAGUCUCCAAUCAAUCAGGAACCAGUGGGCCCCAUGCUUUUAGCUGGAUGGGCCUGGAUUUUCUCAGGCGGGGCCCAGCAAAAGUUGUGAAUGGCCGACCGUGCAAGAAAUUUUUAAUCUUCUCUGGUCUCUGGAGUGGACUCUUGAACAAGUCAACAAGUCAACGGACGAUCGGUAUUCUCUGGACCUGAGGUCCCAAACAGCAAAACAAUAUGAAAUUAAACAUAUGUUGGCCUAAAAUAUUUCCAAAUAAGAUUUAAAUGAGUUUUUUUUUUCACUUUAAUUUAUCAGAAUUUAUUAAUAAUUGCGGUCUAUUUUUAACUAUUUCAUUAAAUCUAGCUGUCGAAAGAAAAAAAAGUUUGGAAUAUGCUGCAGCUUAAUACAUGAAAAUUUUGUUUGGGAUUGAUUGCACCUUUACUAAAUUAAGUUUUAUUAGAGUUGUAAGUUGUUGACUAACUAAGGUUUCUAGAAUUUAUAACUUCUGAGAAAUUAUACUUUCUUCUCGCUAUUAGAUUCAGUCUUAAGUCUAGCAAUUAGGGGUGGGAAGGGUGUGGACAGGAGUAGAAGGUAUAAAAAAAAGCUAUUGCUAAGAUGUAUUCGGGUUGUAUUCAGAAACUCUUGCAAAAUUGCUUCUCCUGAAAUGUUUCCAAAUUUCAGGUUUAAAAUAGACAAGAAAUUGCGGUCCAGAUAUUUGAUGCAAACCAAAACACAUGAUGGAAAACGUUUGAUUUACGUAUAUAAACCCUGUAUUGACCGUAACGUAGGAGUAGAACAAGUCGAGGGUUAGAUUUUACUUCACAUAGUUAGAUUUUCUUUUUUUUUUCCCCUUUACCAGAGCAUAAUAUAAUGGGAACUUACUUUUUUAUUUUCCAAAAAAAAUAAAAAUUGCAUUGCUGGAAAUGGAUGAUAUGAGAAGCUUGGACAGGAAGAAGAAAUAUAGAGGAAAAUAGAGAUAAGGACAAAAUUGAAAAUUCUGACAUUGUUUUAAUUAACAAUAAAAGCUAAUAUGGCUUAACAGAGGGACCGGCAAAGUGCAUCAAAAUAAAUGUUAAGAGGUCAAGUCCAAAUAGUACUAAGGGUAAAAAACAAAAAACCCCCCUGUGAUAAACCUAAUACACAGAAAAGCCCCCCAUGGUUUCAAAAUAUACAACACGACCCCUCAUACUUUGAACUAAAUUGUAAAGGUGACGGAAUCCGUUAAGUUUAACGGAAAUGGUCAAAAUGACCAAAAUACCCUGAUAUAAUUCAACAAAAAAACAGCUCAAAAAAUCAUUUAUUUUAUUUUCUAAGUAGAGAGAAUUGAGAGUUAAGGGGUAGAAUAGGUAUAUUUGAUAAAAAAUUAGGUAUAAAAAUUUUUUUUUAGGUUCCAAUAUGUCAUUUCCGUUAAGUUUAACGGAUUCCGUCACCUUUACAAUUUAGUUCAAAGCAUGAGGGGUCGUGUUGUAUAUUUUGAAACCAUGGGAGACUUUUCUGUGUAUUAGGUUUAUCACAGGGGGUUUUUUUGUUUUUAACCCUAGUACUAACCGUCUUUCUGGUACCACAUUAUAAAUUUAAACCCUUGGCAGCCCAUCUUUUUUCUUGCAACUGUAACACAAUUGGCUACAGGUUCGGCAGGGUCAUGAGUUCACAAAACAUCGCCAUUUUGGCUUCAGCAAUGGUGUGGAUUUUCUUACUUUCUUGGGUAAUAUGUUUUUCUUGUUUGCAAGUCCAUGCUGCAGGAGAAGGCAAAAGGCCGCUGAUUUCCAUGAAUGGUUGCAAUUUAUCUGAAAAAGAGCUUAAGUUUGAGGAACAUGCACGAAGGGAACUCAUACCAGGCAGAUCCAGUAAGUCCUUUGAUAUAUAUAUACAUAUAUAUAUAUAUUCUUAGCAGCUAUCCUUCAUCUCCAAGCAUUGUCAGGCACUAUUCUUAGCGACAUCUAAAUAAUUUAUUGUGCGUCUAUUUAGUUAUUCCACUAUAUGCCAUUUCGUUUCCGCUGAGAUACUUCUGUCAAGAAUUUUAGGCCUUUGUACGUUAAUUUUGGUCUUGCACUGUAAGUUUGGAGAACUACACCGACGGUACACACACAGGCACAGACAGAUAUAUUCAAGAGCUCGUUUGGAUGGGUGUUUUUGAGAAUAUUUUUUCAUAAAACUUUAACUCUAGAUAUGUGUUUUAUAAAACCAUUUGAUAUGGUGCUUUAAAAAUGUUUUCAAGUGUUUUUGGGAAUGAUUUUAAAACUGAUGAUAGCGCCAUCCUCUUCUCACCUCUACCCUGCCCUCUGAUCUCCACUCUCUCUCCCCCCGCUUCUUUUCUCCACCUCUGGCCACCCUCGCAUUCCAUCCCCUCACCCCUCCUAUUUUCCACCCUUCCUUGUCACCUCUAAAAAAAAAAAACCAUCAAAUCACCCCUACCAGAUUGCAUAGAUCUUUCAUGUGGCCAUAUCAUAAAGGGACGAGGGCGCAAGGGAAAGAGGGAGUGUGGUACUUAUAUUUAGAGAUUUAAUUAAACCCGAAUUAUGAGUAGCAAAGAAUGAUUGCAACAUUCAUUUUCUGAGGGCUUGGGGACAAAGCCAUUAAGGGUUUGUUUCGAUAUGUUUCAACUUGUAAAAAAGUAUUUGAUUGUUCAUAAACAUAUUCUCUAAUCACCUUUUGAUUUCACAUACAUCAUAUCAUAAAAAUAUUACGAUAUUUCAACAAAUUUCAAAAAACUGCCCAUCCAAACACGCUCAUUGUUUCUAAUUUCGGUUGUAUAGAUCAGUCCAAAUGCACAGAUUUGUCGAUGACAUGAUUGAUUUUUGUCUGCAGGUUUCACCAGUAUCGACUGUGGCAUAGAAAAUGGUAACGAUUAUACAGACAGCGAAACUGGAAUUAGUUAUACAUCAGAUGCGCAAUAUGUUGAAAGCGGAGUAAACAUGAAAAUAUCUGAUUUAUUCUUGUCUCAAACUCAAAAUUAUCAAAAGCUGCUGUCAACUGUUAGAAGUUUUCCUGAAGGAAACAGCAGUUGCUACACGCUAAAACCAACAGCAAAUGGCGGAGGCAACAAGUACUUGAUUAGAGCAUUCUUCAUGUAUGGAAAUUAUGAUUUGAAAAGUCAACCACCACUUUUCAAACUCUACCUUAAUGCAAAUGAGUGGGAUGAAGUAAAACUGGACAAUGCAUCUCAGAUUCUGAUCAAAGAAGUCAUACAUAAUCCUCCUACAGAUUAUAUACACGUCUGUCUUGUCAAUGUUGGCUCCGGAACACCUAUUAUUUCAGCACUUGAGAUAAGAGAGUUGAGCAACACCAUCUAUGAUACUAUGUAUAAUGAUUCGCUAAUCCUCUACAGAAGGUUAGAUGAAGGUGCAAGUUCAACGAUUAGCAACAAAUUCCAGAGGUAAAUAAGGUCUAUAUAUGAGUAAGACUAUUAUUAAUUAUUUGAAUAUUGUUCUUUGCAUUUUAGACGAAAUUAAUAUGGUUUUCCAAUUCUUCAUUUUCAGGACUGCAUGUCUAUUAUUAUUUUCUGUAGUUUGGAAUUUUCAGUGUUCAAAACCACACUAAGCUCAGGUGCCUGUCUAUUCAAGGGCAAAAAAUAGUCGAAUCUUUCUCACUAUCUUUUAAUACUGGAUAACUCUUCAAUUGUCAUUUUUUCGAAUUCGGGAUUUUAAGACUAUUGCACAAGGUUCAAUUAUAUACGAAGUUAACUUUAAGUUGAAACCCAGACCCCUCAAAUCACUCCUAAAUCCCCAUCUUUUUUUUUUCCCCAAAAACAAGACCAGAGCAAAACAAGAUAACUUUCCCAUUAACGUGAAAAAAUAGAUUCCUAGUAUUACUACAAGAGGCGCCUAGUUUAGUUGUUAAACAGUGUUUUGAAUUUCAGAUAGAAUUGGCUGAUUCAAUUGAUUGAACCAUGAACAGUCAAUUGCCCCGUCAAAGCCUUCUCAAUGAGCUGGUCAAACUUAGUUAAAAACUGGAUUUGACCUGAGAAGAUCAGGAAAAGAUCUGAAAAUUUGGUUUCUUCAAACUUAGUUAAAAUUGGUAACUUUCCUUCUUGUUUUCUAAUUUUACAUUUUUUUUGUUGAAGCUUUCCUUAAUUAUUCUUGACUCGAGUUUGAUACUCAAAAUUUUUGUGGCAUUUAGGUUUGCAUUUGAAUAAUUUGGACAACUAAUUCUUUCACGAACUUUUUCGAGUUACAAUCUUAGUUUCUAAAUUUUGUUAAUUAAGUCUUAUGAAUUUAGUAGUAAGAUGUUAUACUUUUGUUGUGCAUGAAUUCCUAAAAUUUCUUUCAGGUACCGGGAUGAUUUCUAUGAUCGUAUAUGGGAAGUCCCUGACUACCGGCCUGAUUGGAAACCAAUUAACACAACUUCUUACAUUACUGAAGAAUAUCUUGACAACGCCUAUAAACCUUCACCAAUCGUCAUGAGCACUGCAGUCAGGCCUGCGCAUGGAAGUUCGUUGGUGCUGUCUCAAAAUGUUGAUCGCAACCAACAAUUCUACUUGUACAUGCAUUUCCUCGAGGUGGAAGAUCUCCCAUCGACUCAAAUCAGGAAGUUUGCCAUAUAUGUGAACAAUAAAAUCUGGUCCGACCCUGUUGUUCCAGACAGUGGUCCAGAUACCAUCUACAGCACAUACUCUCGGGGUGGUGCUGAUACCCUACUAUUCUCAAUCAAUAUGACAAAUGAUUCUACACUUCCUCCAAUUCUCAAUGCCAUAGAGUUCUAUAUCCGCAAGAAAUUCCCUAUCUUGCCCACAAAUCAAAGUGACGGUACGCUUAAAUCUAAAGCCGUAUUUUUUAUUUGAUACUUCAUACUCAAUGAUACAAAUUAUUGGGAGAUCUUUGCUAAUUACAACAGUUCGUUCAAUUAUACUUAACCAAAAAAACAAUUGAAAACAUGAAAAAGUAAUCAUUAAAAUGAAGAAUUUUCGUAGGGUUUCUAUUGAAUGCUUUACAGCCCUGAAUUAUAUACAUUAAUUUUGUUCUUGGUUGAUUUCAGGAUUGUCCCUUUCUCAUAGCGAUUUAUCGUGUAUAAUUUUGUGUAAUUUUAUAUAAAAUCAAGAUACAGAUUCAUCGGCGUUGUGACCUUUUAUACGCUAUCUUCUUUCUUUCUUUUUUUUUUUUUGCAUGAUGUGUACAUACGAUGUAUCCUUCUAUAGGAGCUGUAAAAUUUUUUUCCCUCUAACUUUUUUUUUCCCCCACAAACUCUAGUUGACGCCAUGAUCAGCAUUAGGUUAACGUAUGGUCUAAAGAAAAAUUGGCAAGGAGAUCCAUGUGUACCCGAGGAACUUAGGUGGGAUGGACUAGACUGCAGCACCAAUGAUCAGGGUUUAUACAGAAUCAUUUCAAUGUCAGUUUCUGUUUCUACAACAAACUUCAUUUUUUGUAAUUGAAUGUGAAGAUGACUGCAUCCUUUUCUGCUAUUUAACCAUGUUGACGGAACUGAAUUAAUGCAGGAACCUAUCCUUCAGUGGGUUAGCCGAUGAAAUCACAUUCUCAUUGUCUAAACUUGAUUCACUACAAAGCUUGUAAGUAUAUCUACUGCCAUAUGCCAUAUUUCAUACAUUUAUUUUUUUUUAAAAUAAAAAUGGCCAAUUGCUUUUGCCACUUUUCUGAAACAAUAAUUGUGGGCAUUUUCUCUUUUCGUCAAAUUUCAUACCGUUGUAAGUAAAUUGUGAACUGCUAGAAAGAGUAUAUUGGAGAAAUUUUUAUUUUUUUAAAGUAUUGGAGAAAGUUCUUAUUCCAUCAAGACAAUUAUUUCGGAAGUGCAAAAGAAGAUUCCAGUCAGGAAAAAAAAAAAGUUAAAAGGUCUAGAUUGGAGUUAACCUGAUUAUAAGCUAACUACUAGAAAUGGUACUAGUACAACUACUAUUGGAGAUUUGGAGUCACGUAAGCCACAAAUACAAAUAAUUGUUUCGUUUAUGCAAUGAAUUCUUUUGCAAAUAAUCAUGUAAGUUAUACCUAUUUCCUAUGUUAAACAAGGGUUCCCAGUUGGCUGCAGGAAGAAAACUUCUUAUGUUUGCAUUCUAGAGUUGGACAUUUUAUGCAUCUGAAUUAGACUACAGAAGAAAAAUUAGGUAUAUCGUACUUCUAUCUCAUAUCGACAAUCAUUAUUCAGGGACAUGUCUCACAAUGACUUGACUGGAACAAUUCCAGAUUUUUUGGCCUACAUGCCUUCCUUAAGAACAAUGUAAGUUCCUACACGAUUUGCCUCGAGAAAAAAUUGUAGUUUUGAUCCCUAAUGUUUGGCCCGAAUGUUUAGUUCAAAAUAAAUCUGAUCCCCAAAAUUUGUGAUUUUAGUUAGAUUUAGGACAAUUAUCAGAAAUAGAAUAACGACUAACGGUCAUCAUCAAAUUGUUAUUAAUCAACAACUUUGACUUUGCACUUUUGGUCUCAAAUAUUUUGACUUUGAAUCAUCAUAUUUUCCUAAAUUUUAAAUAGUGAUAUUAAGAGUUUUAGCAUGAGUUGUAAUUAAACUUCUUUUUCUUCUUUUUAUUUUUAUUUUUAUUUCAUUUAUUCAUGCUAAUAAUAUAUCAUAUGUUUCUUUUCUUUUGCAAAGUUAGUCUUAAAUUUGGUAUAAUAUAUAUAUUAUUAUUUUUCAGUAUUAAUAAUUAAUUGAUAAUGAGUUUUAUUAUUUUUAUUUCUAAUGAUAAUUACAAACUUAAUUAAAUAUCCCUUUCAAAUAUAAGGAAUGUGUUGAUCUUUUUUUUAGGCCAUUUAAUAGGUUAUCAGUUGAAUUUAAAAUAAAGUAGGCAUCCUAUAUAUAUUAUAUUAAACAUUAAAUUAUUAUCACAAUAAAUAAAUAUAAAUUCUUUAAAACUACAAUAUUAGAACGUUAAAUUUUAAUUGGAAGGAUAGACAACAAAAGAUGAAAUAUAGUUUUCUUAAGGUAAGUACCAAUGUGAAGUAAUUUUUUAAAUUCUUUAAAAAAAUCUUUUAUUUUUUGUUGUCUUUCCUACCAAUUAAAAUUUAACAUUCCAAUAUUGUAGUUUUAAAGCAUUUAUUUUAAUAUCUAUGCACCUUAAUAAUCAUGUAGUUGUUCAUAUAAUGUGUAUAAAAUGGCAACUUAAUUUCAAACUCAAUUGAUAAUCUAUUAAAAUGCCAAAAAAAGAUCAACUUAGUUUACAAAAAAGUAUAUAGUCUUUAUAUUUUGAAGGGAUAUUUAAUUAAGUUUUUAAUUAUCAUUAGAAAUUCAAUUAAUUAUUAAUAAUGAAAUAAUAUACAUAUAUUAUACCAACUUUAAGACUAUGCAAAAGAAAAAUAUAUAAUAUAUUAUUAGCAUAAAUAAAUAAAAAUAUUUAAAAAAAAAAGAAAAAGAAGCUUUAUGUUUUAAAUUGUCAUUAUUUAAACUUUAUGGUUCAAAAAUAUAUUUUAGGUUACUCUGUGUAAAAGAAUAAAUUUCAAUUUCUUCUGUAGAGAAGGAUGGGGGACAGGAAAGGAAGAAACAGAAGUUGUUAAGGUGUGUUUUUCUCUUAUCUUGCAGUAACUUAUCUGGAAACAAGCUGGAAGGCUCAGUUCCUGCACUUCUUCUUGAUAAAAUGAACAACGGGGCAUUGGCACUCAGGUAUUUUAAAUUCUAGACCAUGACCCUUUUUCUUUUUGUUCUAUUCCAGAGGAUGACUUAUUUAACUACACAUUGGUUGAAUAGAAGGAAAGUUAUAUGGGAAAGUGAGAUAAAGAAAAGUGAAAAUGAGUUUCCUAUAUAAGUUUGGUUACGAAGAAAAAUAUUGAGAGAAUAUAAGAAGUUAAUGACAGUUAAUAGCAGUUAUUCAAACUUUCGUGAGUUAUUUUCCUCACAGCCCUGCAAAUUUUGUAGGACACAAAGUGCAGGAAAAUGCAAGAAAAAGUUUCAAUAUUCCUGCUAUGAAGAAAAAAAUAAGUAACUUUCAUUCAUUUCUUCACACUUUUCCGAUAAACAAACACUAUAUUUCACUUUUAUUUGAGACAUAGCAUCCCAUAAUGUUUUUAGAUUGUAUCAAUGAGUCAGAUUUGCUAAUAGAUCGAUCUAAUUAAAUUCAAGUGGGAGGAAAUUGGAAUUGUAUACCCAGAUAAUGCCAGAAAGAGACAAAAAAUUACAUACAAGUAAUUUUUGCUCAUUUGUUUUUUGGUUAAAAUGUAAUUUUUGUUCUUUUUCUUUUCAGUUAAAUUUUUUUUUUUUUUUCCUUUUGUGCAAGUUUGGAUGGAAACCCGGAUCUUUGUGUAUCAGGCCCUUGCAAGAAGAAGAAGUCUCAUAAGCAGAGAUUGAUCGUUAGCAUCGUUGUACCGACCAUAUCAUGUCUUCUUGGCAUAGUAAUCGGGGUAGCGAUUUUCAAGCACAGAAUAAAAGCCGCCUCAACGAAGGGUACUCCUUGAUAUCUCAACUGUUCAAAAUUGCACUACUCCUCCUUUCAAAAGCAUAAUAUUUUUGUUUGACAUACAAUUUUAUAAAAUUCGAGGGUUCAAAACAUAGCCAAUUGCAAUGACAGGAGUGAUUCGAGAUCUUUGUUAACUUAAACAUUGGAACAAUGAUGUAGUACAAGAAAUGCCCAUGAGGCUAUGAGGAAUUUGGUUGUAGGGGUAUGAAAUUGAAAUGGGAUGGUAAUUUUAUCAAUUAUUGUGUUUGGAAAGACAAAAGAGGCCUUUUUACCCUCUGGUCCAAUUGUUGAAAACGUAUCAAUCUUUUUUUGGGUCGCUGCAAUAAGUCCUAAUGUACUAAAUUUUGAGUUAGAGCACCCUUAGGCCAUUAGAACACCUUCUUGAUUUAUUGCAAAGCAGGAAUUUGUCCCUAACCUACAGCCAAAAAAGUAACUUCAACGGAUGUUUACAAAAAAAGGAGGGGAGGAGGGGGGGGGGGUUUGCUGUAAGAGAAUAAUAGAAAGAUUUUAAUAAUUUGCAAUUUUUUUUAUACACAUGCAGUAACUUUGUUUAUUGUAAUUUAAAUUGUUACAAAGGUAAAUUUAUUGAUACUGCUAGAACCUAAAUAUUCAUUCAUGUUGGAAACUAAUUAAUAUUCAUUCAUGAGAAAAUGAAUUAUUGCAUAUCUUGUAUUUAUUAAAGGGAUAAUUUCAGAAACCUCCCUUGAGGUUUCUUGCUAUUUCACUUAGUUCCCUUGGUGUUUUAAAAAUUACACUUACCUCCUUUGAUUUGACACUUUGGUAACCAAACUUUAAAAUAGAGUAAAAAGUUUAAUGAAUACUCUAAAAUGCCCUUAUCUUGCAAAGUUCAAUUUGUUCUUCUAAACAAAAAGAGUAUCAAGUUUUCAUGCUAAUAUUUGUUAUUUAAUAAUCAACUAUAACAAUAAAUCUUUUGCUAUAAUAGGGUAUAUUUCAUAGUGUUUUACUGGGAAUAUAAAUUCUUUUUAAGAUAGAGAGUGCUUUUUUGUUUCUUUUAAAGUUUAUGGACUAUUUUUUAAAUGAAAAUUUAUGGACCAGUUUAAUGGUGGAACUAUCAUAAUUUGGUAGUGAUUUUGGGCCAUUUGUUUUUAAUCAUUGUUGACUUACCCUUGAUUUUGCUACCAAAAAAAUUGGAGAAUGUUAAAAGUUAUCAAAAAAAUAUUACUAGUUUAACAUAAUUUGAAUAGAUAUUAGGGACAACAUUGAUAAUUCUUCUAUACUUCUAAUGAAAUAUAAGAGAAAUGAAUAAGAGGGAAAAUGGUAAAAAAAAAAAAAAAUCCUCAGUAUUAAGGUUAGUAUUGCAUAAACAUGGCAACAAGAGAGUUUUAUUAAAAAUAUUAAGGUUAGUAUUGUCAUUUUAAAUGGACAAGGGAGGUACAUGUAAUUUUUGAAACCUUAGAGGAGCCAAGUGAAAUUAUUAGAAACCUCAGGGGAGGUUUCUAAAAUUAUCCCUUAAUUAAAUACUAAUGCAUACUUCAAGGUUUAUCAUCAUUGUAAAAAUCUAGUUACUAUUUCAAUAGAAAAUCUAUUCAUGUUUUGGAAUUUGCUACACUGUUUUGACGAGUAUUCUUACAUUAUAGUAAAAGCAUGUGUAUUAGUUCUAAAUAAUUUGUAUGAUAGUUGAACACUUAGAAUAAAUUUAUUAUCUAAAAGUGAUAUUAAUGAAUACAUAAGAAUACCAUUAAUAUUUUUUCUUAAAUUAUUCAUAGUUGCACAACUUCACAAUUAACCAAAAAAAAAAUUACCGUGCUAAGGCACAGGCUAAUAUACUAUUAAAUAUUAUGGUUUUUAUAAAACUUUAAAUUAAUCUUUUAUACAUUGUUAGUGUACCAAUUUUUUUACACUAACAUGUAUAGAUACAUGCCACAUGUUCAAAAAGUGAAUUUUAAAUUUGUACAGAAAAAAUGCAAUAUAUAUUUAAAUCCACUAGCGUGAAUUCUUACUUUGACAAUGUAUAAAAAAAAAAUCCAAAAUCUUUGCCAUUUGGUGGAGUUGGAAAAGAAAACAUUUUGAUGACGUCUAAAAUUUGCCCCCAUUAGGUACUUGUGUUGAACUAAAGAAAGAACAAGGAGAGGGUACUAUCGUUGAACUAAAGAAAGAACAAGGAGAGGGCGGUACUAUCGUUGAACUAAAGAAAGAACAACUAUUGAAGACCAAAAGUACAAUGUUCAAGUGCUCUGAGAUAAUUGAAAUUACCAACACCUUUCGGACAGUUAUUGGAAGGGGAGGUUCUGGAAUAGUUUAUCUUGGAUGCUUGGAAGAUGGCAGCAAUGUUGCCGUAAAAAUGUUGUCUUCUUCAUCAGCAACCCGUGGACAAAAGCAGUUUCAAUCAGAGGUAAUCAAGACAAUUUGGCACUAUCUACCCAUUUUACCUAUAGGGAUAAUUUCAGGAGCCUCUACCAGGUUUCAAACAAUUUCAUUGCUAUCCCUCAAGAUUUCAAAAAUAUCACCAACCUCGCUUGAAACCUAUUUCCUUGUAAAAAUUUACCAAAUUAAAAAAAAGCAACAAAAAAAAUGAUUUUAGGUGUGAGAAGAUCAUUUGAUUUCAAAGUGCUCCUCACCUAUAAUAAUAGUUAAUUUAAUUAUUCAAUCUAACUUAUUGUUUCAUUUAUAAGGCCGUUACACAUGAUUAACGAAAAAAUUUCAUCAUUUGCAACCAAAAGUAACAAAUUUUGUAUCAAAAUUUUUGACUUACCUUAAGAUUCUUGUUAUCAUCAUGGUAUUAAGAAGAGACAAUGGAAAACCAAAUUCUCCUCACAUCCAAUUUUUUAUGAUCUUUAAGAACAUAAAAAAAGCUAGUCUAGCAUUUGACCCCUUUUCUAAUGCCAAAUUAAUUUUAAACAUAAUAAAAUUAUGGGUAAUUUUGUUUUUAAAUGGCUUAAUUAUUUUUAAUCAAAUUAUGGUUAAUAGUUUGUAAACGGCUUAAUUCUUUUUCAUGUUUGAAUCCUUUUAUUUAUUAUGCACAUCAAAUAUGAUUCAUUUUAUUUGUCAAGUACAUUAAUUAAAAAAAUGCCCCCCUAUAUUGGUUCUCUUUUUAUAUAGCAAAUUAGUUGUUUUUUUAAUUUCAAAUUAUGGUUAAUUUAAUUAGCAAAUCUUUUAAUUGUUUCUCUCCUCAAAUAUGUGUAAAACAUCUUAAAUUGUAAGGAUAGCAGAGUCAUUUCACUAUUAAUGAUAUAAGCAUUGGGUCUCAAAUUGCUGAUAUGAGAGGUAAGUGAUAUUUUUAAAACCUCAAAAGAGGGCAAUGAAAUUGUCAGAAUCCUCAAGGAAGGUUUUUCAAAUUAUCCCUUACCUAUAUCGAAUGGUAAAUAAUCAUCGGUUGUGAAAUAGGUAUUCUAGAAGUUUUGUGAAAAUUUUUCUAAGAUUCCCAAAUUAAAUACAUGUUUUAAUUAUAUUUUUAUUUUCACAUGUAUCACAUUUAAAAAGUAUUAUAGAAAUGUAGUUUUCAAAAAAUACGUUUAGAAAAAGUAAUCUAAAAGAUAUGUCCACAAUUAUACUGGUUUUGCAAACAUUUUCUAUGAGGCAAAAUUAUUAGUACAUAAUUAGAUUUUGGAUUUUUGGAAAUUUCUCGUGCUUGUGAUUUAUAUUCCUUAGGUUAGCCCGUUCAGAGGAAGAUUGUACUAGAGGACAUAUAAAUCAAAGUCAGAAUUGCUACUACUCAUUUUUCUAACGGACUUUGUUAUAUCAUCGACGAAGGUGGAAAUCUUGAUCAAGAUUCAUCACACAAACUUGGUAUCAUUUGUCGGAUAUUGCGCUGAAGGAAGAGCUAUGGCUCUAAUCUGUGAGUAUAUGGCGAACGGAAAUUUAAGACAACAUUUAUCAGGUAUUUUAACCUCUAUGUACAUGCUUCCUACUUUUUUUUUUUUUAUAAAAUAUAACUUUUUAUUCCAUGAAAUCUAAAAGAAUGCAAAAAAAUACAACAAACAUGUCACAAAUACGGUUAAUCUAAAAAAUCAUUAAAUUUAAUAAAUUUUUAGAAAAUAACAAAGAUUACAUUGUGAAACUCCAACCGAUCAAAUAAAUCAUGAGCAGCCCAAUGAAGCUCUAUGCAAGUUAAGACCAUCAAAACUGCUGUUUAACUGGUUCAAAUUCAAAGUCGAUGUUGAGAUCAGAUGAAAUGAAGGAAUCCCAUAUUUGACAUAUAGAGACUUGAAAAGUGCCAAUAUACUAUUGAACCAAAAAUUGCAGGCUAAGCUUGCUGAUUUUGGCUUAUCUCGAAUUUUUGCAAGUGAAAGUGACACUCAUGUAACAACAGCAGUGGCUGGAACAGCUGGUUACCUAGAUCCAGAGUAUGUAUUCAAUAUGAAGUUAAAUUUUUCUAUUUUCCUAAGCUGCCAUUCUAUAAAGGUUUCUCAAAUCAUUGCAAUAAUCCUUUUCCUAAUUGAUAUAUACAGCGUUAAGUAUACAACUGGAAUAGUUGUUUACAACUUAGGAUGAAAAUAUUUUGAGCAUGUGGACACAAUGUACGAGUCUUCUAUAAAUUAUGCUUGGUGAACUUUGCUACAAACUAAAUAUUCAUUUACAAGAAAAAGUUCUAAUUCUACUUCUUUUGUAUUUAAUUAAAGACAAAGAUGCAGUUUUCGAUUUCAAUGCCAAAGAAUAUUUGUUGCAUAUUUAUUGCAGCAUUUAAUGAGCCUUACCACAUUAUAAUAUAUCUAUGCAUAAAAGUUUCAAAAAAAUAAGUACGAUAGUUGAACAUUUAGAAUUUAAGAAAUUUUUUAAACAAUAUGAAAAAAGAUGUAAGCAUAUUAUAAUAUUUUUUAGAGGCUCAUAAAUUGUGUUUUCCAUUCUCAAAAUAUUUUCGUCCUAAGUUGUAAAAAAAUAUUCAGUAAAACUAUAUAUUCUUAUUCAAGUUUAUAAUCUAGAUUUUAUGAUGAAUAUUAGUUUGUGUUUGACUGUUCGCCCCUUCUCUAAACCAAAAUCCGGGUUCCAUCCCUACCAAACUGUCUAAGAAUUUUUUUUUUUCAAGAUUUUGUAUCCUUCAAAGUAAAACUAUAUAUUAUGUGCAUUGGUGUCCUUUAAUGACAUCUAAAUUGGCUUUCAGAUAUAACUACACCUUCAAGUUCAAUGAGAAAAGUGAUGUUUACAGCCUCGGCAUCGUUUUAUUGGAACUGAUCACUGGAAAACCAGCCAUCAUAAAGGGCACCGAUGAUGUCAAUAUUCACAUUGUUGAAUGGGUGAACAAAAGGGUAGAAAGGGGAGACAUUCAUGAAAUUAUGGAUCCAAAACUGAAAGGAAAGUUCAACAUAAACUCGGCCUGGAAGUUUUUGGAGGCCGCCAUGACGUGUACAAUGGCAAUGGCUAGUCAGAGGAUGAGUGGCAUGGAGUUACUUGUUGAACUAAAGCAGUGUUUGGCAAUAGAGCUAUCUGAAGAGAUAGCAUCAAGGGCUGAAGAUUUUCCGCAGGAUGAUGGCCUUGAGAUAGACACCGCUCCAAGUGCAAGAUAGGUCAUUCAUGAUCAUUGCUUCUCUACCUCUUUCUGCUAUGAGAUUGGUGGUGCAGCCCAGUUGCUAUGUACGUCUGAGAGAAGAGAUUGCAUUUACAUUUCAUUUGUGUUAAAUUUCUUAUAUUCUCUACCUCUUUCUGUUUUGUAUUUUAUAUUUGAUAAAUUUCAUGCCAUUAGAAGAAUAUGUUAACAUUAUAAUCUAAAUAAUUUUGAUAGUCCCUGAUAGGGUAAAAGACAAUUUCCUAAUUAAUUCACUCGAUUAUGCAUCAAGUGAAUGUAAAAGUCACUCACCCUCCUUACAUAGUAGUCCUUUGAUCAGCUUCAUUGAUUGGGAAAAACUGGAAUUUUGUAACCCACUCACAAUAUCUUCCAAGGCUUUAGUUGCUAUCAAUCUCAAAAGAGAGUUUAAACACCCUGCAAAUUCUUAAUGUUUUCUUUCGACUGCUUAUAAGUUUUAGGAAUUAAUUGAAUCUAAUUAGUUUGAGUUAUUUCUUCCUAAACUUUUUUUUGUUGUCUACAUUUAUAUCCUUAUUAUCAUCACUUAAUUUCUCGUCCUUUUUUAAUGCUUAUGCAUAAUGAUUAGCUAAUCAAUUGUUAAAUUACUUUUGUUACCAGUUUUCGAUAAGAUGAUUGUUUAGCUGUUUAAAUGAAAAUUAGCCACUUCUUUAGUCAUGCAUACUAAUGCAGUGUUACUUGCUAAAAUGUGAAUCUAAGAGGAAUUAACACUAGACGUUCCUUUUUCCCCCUCAAACAUGAAACUUGGCCUAAAGCUUACUAGAUCUAAAACCUAUGAACUGAAUAUAUUGAAGCAGAAAAAUAUGGGAUGUCACACUUGAUAAACAUUUUUCAGACAUCAAACAAGAGCACAAAAAUUCACCAAUCUAGGAAACCUAGGCUCUAUGUUUGGGCAUACUUCUUUGUGGUAGAAACUCUAUUACUCAUUGAGGACUCUACCUUAAGAGAAAAAAAAAAAAGGACAAAAAACAUCAGCAGCCACUAAACUAUUCGUCAGAUCAUGUUUUAGCCAUCAAAUUAUUUUUCGUCAGAAAUUGGCCACUAAAUAAUUUAAUCAAUAAACCCGUGACCAUUUGAUCUAUAAUUGCUUUUAAUCUGUAAAAUUAGCAGUACACGUGGCAAAAUGCGAGGGCAAUUUUAUCCAACAACUAUGUGACCCUAUUCUCCCCUUAAUUUACUCAAUUGGGAGCCCUAAAUCUUCAAUCACAAAUCGAAGAAGCCGAAAAAGAAGACGAAGAAUGCUAGGCACUCUCCUAAAGCCAUAACAAGAGGAGAUGUUAUAACAAGAGGAUUUAGUCUUGGAAUGUAAAUUGCAGGAUGAGGGAUGUUGCUUUUGGGAAUGGUAUGAUCCAACAACAUAUGAAAGAUCAACUCAAUGAUCGUGGGAACCAUUGGAAAGACAACCAAAAUUUAGAAGCCAGGAAUCAAGCUCCGGACUUCAUACAUGAAAUUGGUUGGCUCCUCCUAGAAGUAAGUUGAAGUUUAGAUUGGGUCUACAAGAUUCCAACUUGGAUACAUUUCCCUUCCAGCGAUUUAGAUGGCCUAUAGAGUUCUCAGUCGAACAUGACUGGUGUACAGUGGUCAAGAUGCUUUUGAAUGUUCUGGUCAACAAACUCAUGGGUGAAGAAAAACGCUCUUCAAUUGAAAAUGCAUUGCUGGAAAAUGGGUUGCUCCAUAGAGCUGUUCGGCAAAAUUGUAGGUCCAUGGUUGAAGUCCUCCUAAGAUACCAUCCAGAUGCAGACUGGAAAAAUUAAGUCGAAUCUGCUAUGUAUUUAGACCGAUGUCAGGGUUGACUCCUCUAUACAUAGCAGCCGGAUGCGAUGGAGUUGAGCAAGUGCUGGAUACAUUAACUGAUGAUCUUGGACUGGUACGGCCCUUCUUAAUAUGUAUAUUGUUAUUAGUGGAACAUCACUUUUGGAAAUGGAAAAAUACUGCUCAGAUCCCCCAGUGGAAAAAUACGACCCUUGCUAAUAUCUUUGAUUUGUGUUUGAAGAUUUGAGACUCCUAAUUGAGUCCCUAUUUUUCCUCCACAUAAUAUUCCAUUCGGUGAUUGUUUGAGGAAAGAAAUUCAGGGGAGAAUAGGAUCGCGUAGUUGCUAGACAAAAUUGCCCCUGCGUUUGGUCACGUGUACUGCUAAUUUCACAGAUUAAAAAUAAUUAUUGAUCAAAUGGUCACGGGUUUACUGAUUAAGUUAUUUAGUGAUCAAUUAUUGACGAAAAAUAGUUUGAUAGCCAAAACAUGAUCUGACGAAUAGUUUAGUGGCUGCUGAGGUUUUUUGCCAAAAAAAAAAGGUUAAAUGUCACCCAAGUUGUAGAAAUGUUUAAUAAAUGCCUUUUUUCUUUCGAAGAAAAGUCUAAUGCAUUCUUAGAAGAAAAAACUGAUGAUAUUUUACUUAAGUCCAAUGUCUCUUGAGUGUUAUAUUGUUGUUGGAUAGGUUUUUAUUUGCAAUUUUUUUAUUGCAUCACAAAUAGUUUUUCAAUCACAUUUUUAUCUUAUUAAUCACAUUUAUAUUUCACAUAUAUCACAUUGAUAGUGAGACAAUUGUGUAUGUUAUUUGAUGGUAUUUGGUCUCAAUUUUGGCCACUUAUUAUGCAAAGUAAUAGGUUUCUGCUCAUAAUUGGUAUUUGUGUCAGUUGCAGGCGAUUGGUGUCAAAAAUGGUGAAAAGAGGCCAAAUUCCAGAAGACUAUUCAUUCUUGAGUGUGCCCACGCUAGAGACCGCAGAAUUACGUCCAAAAGACGGACCGCGAGACUUAUCCCUAGAAGCUGCAACUAUUCUUGGGAGACGUGUUUUGAAAUUGCGUGGGAUUAGGAAACAUCUUCAGAGAAUACCUUUGGCAACAACUCAAGGAGAAAAAUAAGGAAGCUAUCAUUUAUAGAAACAAACUCUCGAAACUAUCCUUUAUAGAAACAAACUCUCGAUUGGUAAAGUGUGGCGGGGAGACUUUAAAUAGGAUAGCAAUAGACUAGGAGUUUUUAUCUUUGAUCUUGGAUCUUUUUCCCUUUUUCCCUCUAAACAGGAGUUAGAGACUCUUUAGCCGCUGUAUUCUUUUUCAUCAACAAAAGUACAUUAAAGCCUGGGAUUGCAUCAUCGUUAUGAGGCAAGGCUAGGUUCCUUUACUUAGUUGAGAAAUAGUCAAGGUCUGGUGCACGGACAAUUGUGAGAUCUUUUUAAUUGUUCUGCGUGAUUUUAAAUUCUGCAUUCGUGAGUAUUUAAUUAUUUCUUGUUUUAAUAGCCUAUUGUUGUUUGGAUCUAUUGGAUUAUGUGGUCAGUUAUUCAAUUGUUUGAAUAGUACACUGCCAAUUAGGACAGGGGUGCAUAUCACUUGAUUGUCUUAAAAUUAGUGGCAAACGGCACAAUUUCAUUGCCUCGCAAGCAGUCUAAUCUGUGUCGUAGGAAUAGUUAAUCUAGUUUAAAUGAACUCGCAUGUGUGUUUGUUAAAUAGAAUUGGGUCUCUCUAAUUCCUAAAACUGUGAAUAGAUUAAAUCUUUCGAGUGUCUCUGGCGUUAUCUAUUUUUCAAGGGGGUAGUUUAAGAGUGUCUCUGAACCAUCAUAUAAUUAAGGAGAGAUUGGUAGUUUGGCGGUUGCUGAAUUGCUAGAACUAAUUUAUUUACGAACGUGUGAACUAUUCCAGGGAUCUGUGAUUAAUUGCAUGAGCCGGUGCCGAAAUUAUCUCCUUGACUAAGUUGUCUCAAUUAAUUGUUUAUUAUAUUCUUUAACUACUGCACUUUCUUGCGAUUGGAAAUUCAGUACUCUUACAUCUUUAAUUUGUUCUUCUUGUCUUCCUUUCUAAAAUUUUUCAAAUUCUCUGUGUAUGAUAAAUCUACUAGUUCCCUGAGGAGACGACCCUACUCACCACUAUACUCGUUCAGUUUUGGGAGUAGGUAUUGAUAUAAAUUUUAUUUUUGAUAGUUUGACAGCCACCAAAUUUUGGCGCCGUUGUCGGGGAACUGGUGCCUGAUUAAUUUGUUUCUUUUUUAAUUCAUCUUAUUUUCAUUUCUAUUUUUUCUCUUUGUUUUAACUAUUUAUGGCUGCUAAUUUUCUGUAUUUUGGUGAUGGACUGGAUUUUAUUUCUAGAAGGGGUUAUGAGACUCAUACUUUUUCUAAUGAUCAAUUGACUGUUGCAAAUUAUGAAAGUUAUUUUGUCUCAGAUCAUUCAACCGACAUAUACCCCACAUUUUAAGAUAGCCUGAGUACUCCAAUCGACACUUUUGGAGAUUUUCUAUCUCAAUAUCAAAUGUGGUAUGACCCUUAUUCAAACGGGUAUGAUCACGGAUGAUGGAACAACUCCAACUUUAAUUAUACACCAGAGCCAAUCGAUUUUCAAUAUCAAUAUCAACAGCGAUAGCCAUCAUCCAUGUCAGGUAUGUCUCUUGAAGAAAUGGUUGAAUUAAUAGCUACUAACAAAUAUCAAUUUCAACAGGAGACACAAAGGAUGAUUAAAGAGAUGGAAUAUGGAAGACGUGAAUUGACAUCUACAAUGAGUAAAUUGAUUUCCCCAAUUUAUGAAGAAUUGCUCUCAUAGACCAUCAAUGACCUUAAAGAAUAUGAGAGUACAAUUUUCCUGACAAAUGACAUGAAACUGCAUGAGUGUCAAGAAAAAGAAUCUAAAGAUGCAGUUGAAAAGGGAAUUGAAGUACAAGAAAUGGAACCCCAAUAUCAAAUUGUUCAAAUAAAUGAAUCCAGUAAACAAUCUCCAAAUGCGGUGACAUAUCCCCCAUUCUUUAAUCAAUAUUCUCCUGACUCUUAUUCUUUAAUUUCUGAUAGGUUGUAAUUUUAUCAUUUAUUUUAUUAUUAAUUUUUCCUAUUACCUGACCUGAUGUUGAUUAAUUAUUAGAUUCUACUCACUUUUCGUAAUUUACAUUUAUUUCAGGGAGUUGAACAAAAAUAUCACAAUCAAGGCCAAUUUGACAGUCAUCAGGAAAGAAUUCAAAUGGAAGGUCUUCAGGGGUAUUUUUGGAACAAGGAGAUACAAGUCCUUUUUGGUAAUUUGCAGAAGACAACAUUCAAAAAGAAGCACAAAAGGCUAGAGUCGUUUCUCUCCUGGUGGGCCGCCGCACAUGAGAGCCAAGCAUUAGAAUAGAUUAGUAAUUUAAUAGGUACGGGGAGUAGCAGAAGACUUCUCUUGGGCUUUGGACAAUUUCGUCCUUUAGUGGUUUUGAAUCCACGUAUGUUACACUUAGGGUAGAAAUAAGGGGUCAUUAUUUUUUUUUGACAGAGUAGUCUUUUCUUCUAUUAUUCGGUUUUCCACCGUUUCUUCUUCCUGACUGGGAGAAUGUACGUCGCAACUAUUUAUGUAGUCUUGCAUGGGAUUUUUUCAUCAAUAAUGAGCGAAACCCCUUUUUCUAAUCAAGGAGCAACGGAUGCUUUGACUCGCCUAAAAUUGUGAGAUCGAUUUAAUUUUAUUUUUUCUUUUAUUUAUUGGUAUUUGCAUAUUUUCUGAUUACAGUGCUUAUGAUUGUUUAAUUAAUUGACUGUCUUGGAUCCGAAUAAUUAAUUAAUUUGAUAAUCUAUUGUCAAUUGGGACGUUAAAUCCGUAAUUGUUUAAUUGUCUCAAAAUAGUGAUAACUGGCAUGAUUGGAUUUAUGUCAGGGAAAUACGCGAGCUAACCUAAAAUAACCCUGGUAGUGUGUUAUUUGGUUAGAAUAGGGCUUCUCUAAUACGUAAGGCAAUUGGGGAAUUAAAUCUUACGGGUGUACCUAAGAUUAUUUCUCAAUUAGAGUAGUGAUUAACAGGCGUACCUUAAUCACCAGCACAGUAAGGAGGGGUUGACUGUCAUCGCUUGUUUGGCAGUUAUAACCUAUUUAUUAGUAAAUAAUUGAAAUUGCCUUUGUUUCAAUGAUCAAUUAGGUGAACCAUUGCUGAAAUUAUUCCUUGGCUAGAUCCUUAAUUAUCACUCAUUUGAUUUUAGUAAAUUGUUAUUUAAUUUCUAGUUGGCUAUUUUAUUUUUAUUAUUUUACUUUUAGUUGAAUUCCUUAAAUUGUCACCCCUGACAUAAAAAACCCCCAUUGUCACUGUGAAUUUGAAAAGAAACAAUUACUCUCAGUCCCUGUGGAUUCGACCCUAUUCACCGCUAUCUACAGAAAUUACUUUUAGUUUGAGUAGAUUUUAUUAUUGCACAGGCUGACAACCUGUCAAUUCCUGUUAGUGAGAUUGACUUUAUUAUAGCAGAAGAUUUUGAAUUUCAUGACAGGAAUAAAUUAAGAGUCACGAUAACAAAAUAUCUCGAACCAAUAAGUGCUCGUUAUGGAGGAGUGAGUGAAGAAUUAAAGUCAUCACUUGUUUGUUUGGUACCAUCUACAAAUUCAUGGAAGGCCAUACCUCGUGUACUCAAUGAUUACUCUAUUUACGAGAGUUAUCAGAACUAUACAAAGGAUGAAGCAUUGAAAUGAGCCACAAGAUUUUAUUCGCUGUGAAUAAACAGGGCAAUGUCUAGCCAAAGACGUUAAAGAGAGGCGCUGCUUGGGAGGUAACCCAAGGACUAAACUCUUUGUUAUUGUUAUAUUUCAUUAUUAUUACUAUUAUUAUUAUUAUUAUUAUUAUUAUUAUGUCUCAUUCCCAGUGCUUUAUUGGUGUUAGGCAGAAGACUGUGGCUUCCUAGGUGUGCCCACGCUUUGCAGGGUUGCUCCAGAAAGCUGUCGACUAACUGGUGAACAGAAGAUUUUAGCUUCCAAGGCGUGCCCACACUUCAUAGAAAAUUUCAUGGGUGCUGUUAAAGAAUGGGCAGCCGACUUACGCUUCUUAAGUGUGGUAAUGCCUCUCAACCAAGUACCGCCGCCCAGGCCGCCGCUGUUCGCCAUUGCUGCCUUACAUUCUCUCGACGUCCAUCCCCUCUGCAUCCUAUGUACUUGGGGAUUUUUAGUUCCGCGCCUUGGCGGAUGUCCUUCGUGGGUUGGAUGAAUAAGUUAAUCAUUUGGAUGACCGUCUCACAGCCUUGCAAUUUCAUUCUUCUAUUCAGACACAAAAUCUGGCAGCCUUCUUUGCCCAUGUUGGAUUUCAGCCGUCUCAUUCUCUUCCCCUAUAGUGCUUUCGCGGCGUCCUUUCAGCAUUCUGGGAAGUUCUAGCUCCUUUCUACUUGGUUUCUAUUUUUCUUUGCUACAUUGAGGACAGUGUAGGAUUCAUAUGUGGGGGGGAGUAGUUGAACAUUGCUAGAAUUUGAUGCUAUGAUGAUCAUUGCAAUUACUCUACAAGCAUGAGCAGUGAUAUUAUGUGGUUAAAUGUCUUGUCUUCUUAAUAAUGGAAUUGAAUGAUAAAAUUUGCAAGAUUUGGCUAUUAAUAUCCUAUUGUGAGCUGUCGAGCCAAUGAGCGUUGCAUUGAUAACUGCUCUAUUUUCUUUCAUUGAAUAAUAUCACAUAUGAUUUGAUUGUUCUAGAACUUGCUUUGUUAUGCAUAUCAAGAUCACAUUCCUGAAUUUGAUGCAUUAGAAUGAUAAGGGCACUUAGGCUAACCAUUUUUGCUUUCUAAUGACCAACCCUCGUCAGAUCUCCCCUAGUUGACCAUGGUUAAGUCUAGACCUUUUCUUUGUUUAAUAACUCAUUUUGUCACUCCUAAACCCCUUGUGUUCGAACCCUCUUUGUUUCUACCCCGUGUCAAAGGAAUGCCUUGAUUUUAGUGCAUGAUGAUUUCAAAUUAGGUUGAAAGGAGAUGAUUGAAGUUAGCGAGUGUGUCUAUAUCCCCAUGUAGUUGGGCGUAUUUGAAACAAAAAAAAAAGAAAGAGAAAAAAAUGAGCACACCAAGAAAAAAAAAGGGAAAAAAAGAAAACAAAAGAGAAAACAAAAGAAAGAAGAAAAAAAGAGGUAUGAAGUGCUAAUUGUCAAUAUGUGAUCUGUUGAGAUGAUUGGGUGAAUCCCUUGGUUGUGCUGACACUUGCUAAUUUUUGAAAAAAUUUAUGGAAAUGCUUUGGAAAGAUCAAUGGAAUGAAGAAGGAAAUUGGCAUUCAUGUAGUGGGUCAAUGGUAUUGCCUUUGACAUAAUGAGUUUAAAUUACCUGUUUGAUCCAACCCGUGCCUGAACCCCGUUACAACCCGCAUCAAGACCCUUUGAUUUUUGCAUUAAAUUUGGUUACAGUGGUGGCGAUGAGAUAUAUUAGCAAGCAUAUGAUAACAUCAUUUUAUUGUACGGUGAGAGUGACCCUUUGUGUUUCAUGUCAGUGUGGUGAGUAGUCAUAUACCAUUCUAUAAGAGAGGGUUAAGUCUUGCAAUUUCUGAAUUUGAUGACAUUGUUAGGAGGAUAGGACACUUGUGCUCGCAUGUUGGACUGCUACAUGUGUGUAGCUGUAAUUGCAUCUCUGAGUUUUGAAAUGUUUGAGGACAAACAUUGUCUUGGUGUGGGGGGAUUUGAUAGUGAGACAAUUGUGCAUGUUAUUUGAUGGUAUUUGAUCUCAAUUUUGGCCACUUAUUAUGCAAAGUAAUGGGUUUCUACUCAUAAUUGGUAUUUGUGUCAAUUGCAGGCAAUUGGUGUCAAAAGUGAUGAUAAAAGGCCAAAUUCCAGAAGACUAUUCAUUCUUGAGCGUGCCCAUUCCAGAGACCGCAGAAUUACGUCCAAAAGACGGACCACGAGACUUAUCCCCGGAAGCUGCCGUUAUUCUUGGGACACGUAUUUUGAAGCUGCGUGGGAUUAGGAAACAUCUUCAGAGAAUACCUUUGGCAACAACUCAAGGAGGAAAAUAAGGAAGCUAUCAUUUAUAGAAACAAACUCUCGAAGCUAUCCUUUAUAGAAACAAACUCUCGAUUGGUAAAGGGUGGUGGUGAGACUUUAAAUAGGACAGCAAUAGACUAGGAGUUUUUAUCUUUGAUCUUGGAUCUUUUUCCCUUUUUCCCUCUAAACAGGAGUUAGAGACUCUUUAGCCGCUGUAUUCUUUUUCAUCAACAAAAGUACAUUAAGGCCUGGGAUUGCAUCAUCGUUAUAAGGCAAGGCUAGGUUCCUUUCCUUAGUUGAGAAAUAAUCAAGGUCCGGUGCACGGAUAAUUGUGAGAUCUUUUUAAUUGUUCUGCGUGAUUUUAAAUUCUGCAUUCGUGAGUAUUUAAUUAUUCCUUGUUUUAAUAGCCUAUUGUUGUUUGGAUCUAUUGGAUUAAUGUGGUAAGUUAUUCAAUUGUCUGAAUAGUAUAUUGUCAAUUAGGCCAGGGGUGCGUAUCACUUGAUUAUCUUAAAAUUAGUGGCAAACGGCACAAUUUCAUUGCCUCGCAAGCAGUCUAAUCUGUGUCGUAGGAAUAGUUAAUCCAGUUUAAAUGAACCUGCAUGUGUGUUUGUUAACUAGAAUUGGGUCUCUCUAAUUCCUAAAACUGUGAAUAGAUUAAAUCUUUCCAGCGUUUCUGGCGUUAUCUAUUUUACAAGGGAGUAGUUUAAGAGCGUCUCUAAACCACCAUAUAAUUAAGGAGAGAUUGGUAGUUUUGCGGUUGCUGAAUUGCUAGAACCAAUUUAUAUACGAACGUGUAAACUAUUCCAGGGAUCUGUGAUCAAUUGCAUGAGUCGGUGCCGAAAUUAUCUCCUUGACUAGGAUGUCUCAAUUAAUUGUUUAUUAUAUUCUUUAGCUACUGCACUUUCUUGCGAUUGGAAAUUCAGUACUCUUACAUCUUUAAUUUGUCUUCUUGUCGUCCUUUCUAAAAUUCCCCAAAUUCUCUGUGUGUGAUAAAUCUACCAGUUUCCUGAGGAGACGACCCUACUCACCACUAUACUCGUUCAGUUUUGGGAGUAGAUCUUGAUAUAAAUUUUAUUUUUGGUAAUUUGACAGCCACCACACAUCAUCAAAAAGACUAUAAUAUCAUUCCUACAUUUUCUUUACAGAUAAUCUCAUAUCCUAACAAACUAGAUGUUAAAUUUCAAAGCCGAAUGUUGAUAUCUGUCCUGAUAAGAAUAUAUUUUUGAUAGGGAGAUAAUUGUCCGUUUUAAUCGCUGUUAUUUGGUCCUAAUUUUGGUCACUUAAUGUGUAAAACACUGGAUUUCUGCCCAUAUGUGGUGUUUGUGUUGUUUGCAGGAGAGUGGUGUUAAAAGUGACAAAAGAGGGGCAAAUUCCAGAAGACCAAGCCUUCUCUGGCGUGCCCACGCCAGACAAUGCAGAGCUGCGUGAAAAAGACGGAAUACGCGACCCUACUCCCUGGAGGCUGCCGCAAUUGUAGUUACGUGGGAUUAGGAAGCUUUUCCAAAGAAAACUUUUGGAGACAACUCAAGGAGAGAAAUAAGGAAACAAUCCUCUGGAGAAACAAAUUCCAAUUCAACAAGCAAAGAAACGUGGGGUAACACUAUAAAUAGGAGGUCUGUAAUAGAUUAGGUAAUAUCUUGGUCUUGGACGUUUCUCUUGGUUUAUCUUCUUUCUUUUGGAACGCACGUUGGCGGCCGAAUCUUUUACUCCUUCUUCAAUUAACAAAACUCCAUGAAAACUUUGAAUUGCUUUGUUGUCAUGACUAUGCGGCAAGGCAAGAUCGUUAUCUAGUUGAUGAGUAAUCAAGGGCCGGAACAUAAACAAUUGUGAGAUCGUUUUUAUUAUUCUAAGUUCUACGUUUGUGAGUAUUUAAUUAUUCUUUGGUUGAAUUGCUUGUUAUUGUUUAGAUAUAUUGAAUUAAUGUGGCCAAUUGUUCAGUUGUCUAAACAAUAUACCGCUAAUUAGGACAGGGGUGCGUAUCACUUGAAUGUCUUAAUUUAGUGGCGAACGAUACCAAUUUCAUUGCCUCGCAAGCAGUCUAAUCUAGUUUAAAUGAACCCGCAUGUGUAUUUGUUAACUAGAAUUGUGUCUCUCAAAUUCCUAAAGCUGUAAUUAAAUUAAAUCCUUCGAGCGUCUCUGGGGUUGUCUAUUUUACAAAAGGGUAAUUUACGAGCGUCUCUGAACUACUAUAAAAUUAAGGAGAGAUUGGGAGUUUGGUGGUUGCUAAAUUGCUAGAACCAAUUUAUUUGCGAACGCAUGAAUUAAUUUAGGUAUCUAUGAUCAAUUGUGUGAACUGGUGCCGAGAUUAUCUCCUUGACUAGGGGCCUGUUUGGAAGUGAGUUUUUUGGCCAAGUUUUUUAGCUACUAGUUUUUUAACAACUUUAGCUAUAGGAACCCAAAAAAAUUUAUCAAAUUUUUUAACCUACACACUUCAAAAUAUUUAAUACACAAAAAACUACUAUCUUUUCUUCUUCUUUCUCCCCCACCCCAUCCACCAUACCUUCAUCGCCGGCCACCAACUCCGCCGCCGUUUCCGGUGCCGGCCACCUAUUCCGCCGUCGGCGUUCCUUUUUUUUUUUCCUUUCUUUCUCCCUCCCUCUCUCCUUCCUUGAAAACUUCCCCUUCUUUUAAAAACCCUGUUCAAUAACCACUGCUGAUCAAGAAGCCUUACCAUAACCACUGUUGCCCCUUCCAUCACAUGGCCAGAAGUUAACAAAUGCAAAAUUGGAGCAUGCCAUAUCUUCACAUAGCCAGAUGUUGGUGGGGAUAAGUCAUGGAGUUCAGCAAACUGGUUCUCUCCCAAGAAAUUAGGCAGAGGGGAAGUGGUGGCGGGGCAGAGGGGGAAUGGGCAGCUUGCUCCCACUGGUGGCGAGCAGGGCUGAUUCACUGAGCCUAUCCGCCCGCAAUCCGUAUGGGACGUCUUCCUCUGAGCUGGUGAGGGAAGGAGGAAGGGGUAGCGGGGGUGGUGGGCCAGAGGGGGAAGGGGCAGUGGGAGAGGGGGUGGCGGGGUAGCGGGAGAAGGGGCAGAGGGGGAAGGGUGGCGUGCAGAGAGGGGAAGGGGCAGAGAAAAUGGCGGGGAGAGGGGGUGGCGGGCAGCGGGGGAAGGGCACAGGGGAAGGGAAGGGGCAGGGCAGAGGGUGGCGGCAAGCGAGGGAAGGCUGCGGGGAGGGGGGGGGGCAGGGAGGGGAAGGGCAGAGAAGGUGGCGGGGGGGGGGGUGGCGUGGCAGCGGGAGAGGGGCUGGCGGGGGAAGGGGGUGGCGGGAAAUGCAGAGGAGAGGAGAAGGGGAAAGGGAGGAGAGAGGGUGGCGGGAGGGGAAAGGAAGAAGAAGAAGAAGAAGAAGAAAGAGAGAAAGAAAAGAAAAAGAAAAAGAAAGAGAAAGAAAAAAAGAAAGAAAAAAAAAAAAAGGAAAAAAAAAUUCACCUUAUAAAAUUUUUUAUCUUACAAAAAACAUCUACAAAAAAAUUUUUCACCUUACAAAAACUUCUAUAAAAUUUUUUCAAAAACUUCUACAGUGCACUACAGUAAAGUUUUAGACAAACUCCCAAAAAACUCAGGUUCCAAACAGGCCCUAGGUUGUGUCAAUUAAUUGUUUAUUACAUUCCUUAGUUUUUGCCUUUAUUGUGAUUGUUCAUUUAGUAAUUUUAGGUCUUUAAUUUGUUUCAUUUAUCUCUCUUCCAAAAACCCCCUAAUUAUCUGUGUGUGAUAAAUCUACCAGUUCCCUGUGGAGACGACCCUACUCACUACUAUACUCAUUUUUGGGAGUAGGUAUCAUUAUAAAUUUUAUCUUUGGUAGUUUGACAGCCUCCAAUUUUACGUAUUUUUAGUGUGUUUUAUUAGUUAAUUUUGGUUUGAUUAUUUAGUUUUAUAACUAAAAUAACUAAGAUUUUGGUAAAAAUCUACAUUUUAUGUUAAAGUGGCUAACAUUGCAAUUCUAUUGAUUUUUAUGGUAAAAACUUCAUAUUUUGUAGGUUUAAUGAUUCAAUCAUCAAAUGAAGUACAUUGAGAAGAUAUUUGGAUGAUUGAUGAUGGAUUAAAGUGGUGAAAAUAAAAUAUGAAGUGUAAAAGGAAGAGAUGCAAUUUGAGGAAAAAAAAAAUCAAGAAAAGUCAGCUUUGACAACUCAGACAUAUUUUCGUAUUUUGACUAUAUCUGGAGCUACACAUAUUGGAUUAAGGUGAUCUUUAUACCAUUUUGAAACUAAGAGAUAGAUCUAAAUUCGGUAUGAAGACAUGAGAAUCCAAUUCAGCCGAUUACUCAGUCAAAAAGUCGAAAUACCAAAAUUCAACACUGCUGUCGAAAGUUGAAAAUAGGGAUUUGAUCAGGUGUUAGUAUUUUGGUUAUAUCUCAGUCUACAAAGCUCCGAUUUGGAUGAUUUUUAAAGAAUUGGAAAGCUAAUUCAAAGGGCUAAAACUUUUGUGUUUACACAAAAGCUAGUUCGGACUCAAUCAUAGAGAAUAUUGCAGUUGAAGUGAAGCCAAAAACACAGAAUUGAAAACGCGAGUUGACAAAACGCGACUCCAAGCUGCGUUUUGUGUAGGCGCAUUUUGAAGUCGAAAUUCUACAAUUUGCUCAGCCAUUUCUCUUGUGUUCAGACUACUUUCCAGCUAUAAGUUGCAAGGGAAUUCGGUGCACAUGCUUCAGAAGACAAAAGGGCAAGAAAGGUGGCUUAUUUUCAAGUCAAAAACAUUUGUUAUUUACUAUCUUAACAAUUUCAGAUUUGGGAAUCAAGUGUGGAAAGUUUGACCAGUGGAAAAUGAGCUUUGGAGUAGUUUAUAUGCAAAGACAUUUGAGAGGUCUAAGAGGAUAUACGGGAGAGAGCUUGAAGAGUGCAGAAAUGUAGUUCUUCCAUUUCCUUAGUGUAGGAUAGCGUAGUAAGUGUAGUUCAUCAAUUCUUGUAUAAUGGCUAGAUUAAGAUGAAAAUGGAGAUGAAGAAAGAGAAGUUAAAGCUCAAGUGACAUGGGUUAUCUCUUCUCCAACUCUUUAUUUUUUGUAUUGGAUUCUUAAAUAUGGUUAAUAUGCAAGUUCUGGAUUUUGUGUUUAUUAUGUGUCUUUAAAGUUUAUGCCUUGGGUAUGUUGAAUUUUCUAGGAUUGUUAGUGUUUAUUAUUUGUCUAUUUGACUGCUAUAAUUUGAGCAAGUUAUUUAGCACUUUAGCUCUUUAAAUCAUGAUUAAUCUGGUACCAUUAAUUGUGAUUAUCUAAGGUGUUGUUUCUACAAUGAAAAUUGAGAUGUAACACUAGUUCAAGAAGUGCUAAACAUAGGGAGUACACUCACGAAAGUAGAGGCGCACCUAUGUGGUUUUUUGUGAUUCAUUUCAUGUAAUUUCAUUGAAGAAAUGAACUUGUAGCUAAUUUCAUAACCAUGAGAAUAGGUAUGGAUUAGUUAUGAGUAUAAUUGAUUCACUACGAAAGUAGGAUUCAAAUGCAUAAGGAAAUUACACCAUAACUAGCCUAGAUGUAGUACUCAAUGAUCCAAAUAUAGCACUUAUAUGAGUAGUUAGGGAUACCAUAACCUAAGGAGUUUUCAUUUGUUAUUUUGUAUAAUUUCAGUUGGUUUAAUUUGUUAUAAUUCAUUGAUAGUCUAAAUAAUAGAGAAGUUUUAGUAAUACCGGUAAUUGUUCACUCUUUCUUGUGGGAUCGACUCGAUAUAUACUCUAAACUACUAGUUGACCUGUAUACUUGCAGUGAAACGGGUGUAAAUCAAUUUUUUUUUAACUUGUACGUAUGUAAAAUACCCGUCAUGUCCAUGGACAAAACUUUUGCUAUGUUAAACGAACCAAUUAUAAAAUGUUAGAAAAAGUACGCAAUUAUAAAAUGUUGAUAUGUUGUUUCAAUUAUGGUAGGUGGUGUCGUAGAACAAUUUAAUGUAGAUAUACAUCAUUUUCUUUUGUAUAGUUUCACUCAUAUGCAGGUAAUUAUCUCAAUUCUCAAGCUUGAACAGAGAUUUGCAACGUUUGCCGGCUGCUCCAAUUUAUAAACAAAAGUGUAAUUUACAUGCACAUCCUGAGGGAUAGGGAGCAGAUUCUUACCGCUCACCUAAUGGGAUUAUUGGGCUCGAAAGCUUCCAGACCUGUACCUGCCAUUUUGGAUAUAAGAGUAAUUUUAUAAUAAUAAUAUAUUAAAUAAUUAAAAUUAAAAAGCUCGAUUAAGCUCGACGAGCUCUCGAGCAUUGAUUUGAAAUACUCGAACUCGACUCGCUUGUUUUAUCGAGCCGCUCGAACUAGCCGAGUUCGAGUCAAGUUUUUGACCGAGCUGCUCACGAGCUACUUGCAAGCAGCUCGGUUCGAUUACACCCCUAGGAGCACCUCGCGAGUAGCUCGGUUCGAUUACACCCCUAGGUCCAAGGUGCUCCUCGGACGAAAUUCGGCCUAGAUGGAAACGAAGAUCCUAAUUGUUCUCGAUUUCGGCAAAUUGUAGUUUUACACUCUUUCCUGCUUAUAUGCAUUCUUGGGCUAUAAACGCGAUGAGAGAGCCCGCAAAUUUGGUCAAUCCAUGUGCCAAGAAACUGAGAAAACUUUAAUCCUAUCACUUAUUGUAUAUUUCUUUGAAGCGGCAAGAGGAGAGAAGACGCAUAAGUAAAUAUAAUGUGAUUUGUAAAAUACGUUGCAGAUGGUUUCUUCAAUGUAUCUUAUUCCAGCUUAAUAAUUUUUUUCUUUCAAUUCCUCCUCUCAAGCAUAAGGUUUGCACAAUCUCACAUACUGAAGUGGCAUUUCUCUUCACUCAAAAAUGAUUUUCCAACUUAAUAAUUUUGUUUUUUGUUUUUUUCAAUUCCUCCCCUCAAGCGUAAGGUUUGCACAAUCUCACAUGCUUAAGUGGCAUUUCUCCUCACUUAGAAAUGAAUCUAGAGCUGUUAGGAAGAAAAAACCUCAAGAGAAUCCACCAAAAAGUGUAAGUCAAGAACUCAGUAUUAACCUAAAAUGUUAAACUAAUAAGUUCCAAGCCCUUACAUAUUAAGAGCUAUUUCUCCAUUUCUCAAACCAAUAUGGGAUACAAUUCUCUAUCCAUGAAACUAAUAAUUUCCUCCUUUCUGAGUAGCACUUCACAUUGAACCCAAUUUUACAAAAUCUUUUUUGAACCUACUUUAAUACUUAAUACAAGCUCAUUUUUACAUCCAAUGUCACUUUUUCUCUCAAUCAUAGAUUCAUUCUUCUUCAACAUAAGUCCAUCUUAACACUCAAGGUUACUUUUUCUCCCAAUCAUGAACCCAUUCUUCUUCGACAUCCAAAUUAGAUAUCGGAUCCCUGCCAAUUCUUAGCUCCUUGUUCUAAUACCCACGUGACCUCCUGCCAAACUCUUGGCCCACCCAGUCCAACACCAAUCAAAUUCCUUGGCACUUUAGUCUACCACUAAGAACAAAAUUUCACUUAUCCAACUCCGAGAAGAAUCCACUUGGUAAUAAGUAACAUCAGCCAUACUCAUUGACACUUCAAUCUACCACUAAGAAGAGAAUUUCACCGGUCCACCUCCGAGAAAAAUCCACUUACUAAUGAGUAACCCAGUCUAGUACAAACCAAAAUUUGGACCCUUGCCAACUCUUAGUUAAGGGUGUUCAUCGACCGAUAAUCGGAAAUUUGGUAAAAAAAAUUUCAGUAAUUCGAGAAUCAAUUUUUUAAGGCCAAUAUCCGAUUAUCGUCCAAACUUUAGUUUGGUAAGUUGCAUCAAAGAACCAAUAAUUCAGUAAUAUCCGAAAUGCAACAUGUCAAUAGUGAUUUAAAAUAUUUUAAUUUUCUCUAAAAGGUUGUUGUAAAAAAAUAAUAUCCCAUAUGUUUUUCCAACAAAAUUCAAUCAACUUAUCUCAAACAUUGAUAUACAAAAAAUAGUAAUAAUAAUUAGGUUCAUAAUUCUAAGUCGUAACUCAUAAUCUAAAUUCUUAACAACAUUGAAAUAAACAAGAACUCCAAAUUAAGUUGUCAAGCUAAACUCCAACAUGUUAACUUCCAACAAAAUUUGACUUCCAAGUACGGUUAUAGUUAUGUUAGAUAAUUAGUAAUUACUAAUUAGUAUUUGAAGAUUUACUCUUAUAUUUAGUAAUAUAUAUAUAUAUAUAUGUAUGUAUAUACACACACAUAUAUUGUACAUGUCUAUAACAUUAUAUUAUAAAAAUUUCAAUAAUUUAGCCAGUAAUUAGUAAUCUAUAUUUAAUAUUUUUCUCCCAACCAUUUUACCAAAUAUUAUAUUUCGGUUCUUUCAAAUUCCAUUUUACCGAAAUCCAACUUCAAGAAGAAUUCACUUACUAACAAUGUUAUUGAACUCGGACUGGAUAGCGACUCAACUAAACUAUUGAGUCAAGGAUCAAUUGGUCGGAUUGGUCGGACUGUUCUAAAAAAUCCGCUGACAUCGGCAUGAUGUCAUAAUUAUUUUAUAUUUUUAUAAGUUUUAGAAAUAUUGAAAUUAAGUUGUUAGUUAUAUUUGGCCAGCCAUAAAAAAUGUAAAUUUUCUAUAUACACCUAAUAAUUAUAUAUAAAAAUGUAAAUUUAUUGUUAAAAUAUGUCCAUUCUCCAAAACUACUUGAAAAAUAAAUUAAAAUAAAUUAAUGCAAGUUAGAAUCACAGAUGCUAAAUUGAUAAGAUCAUAGCGAUAAAAAUAUCCUGAUUUAAAGAUCAUUCAAGAAAGCGAGUGCUUUUGAUAUUUACACUAAGUAAGUGGGUUUACUUAUGCCUAUCAAUCAAUGAAAGUGUUACAAUUUAGGUAACUUAAAUUAUGUUUGGGAAAAAGAAGAAAAAAAAGUUUGAGAACCGAGUUAACUAGUCGUAUCGGGUCACUGGUUUACCCGAUUUUUGACAUUUUUGACUAAUUUUUGACCAAAGAGGUUUUGUGCUACAAACCAAUUCGAGAAGAAGGCCAAUUCAUGGUCGGACCGAUCAAACCAGCUAGUCCAAUCCAGGUCUAACAGCAUUGCAGUUACUAAUGAAUAGCUUAUUAAAGAGCACCCUAAUCUUGUAAGAGAGACUCUAAUACUACUUAUUAGGGAGCAAAAACUUGAAAGAGCCUACCAAUUAAAGAGCCAAUAUAUAAGUUGAGAAUCAAAUGUUGAUCUAAAAGUUUAAAUUGUUAAGCCUCGGGUCAUUAGUUGCAUAUUAAAAACUCUUUCUCCAUCUCUCAAACCAACUUAGGAUAUAAUUCCAUACUCAUGAAUCUAAUGUCACGUACUAAUGAGACAAACUUGCUAAUCAAAUUGCUGGGGUUUGGACAAAACCGACAGCAAUCUUACCCCUAUUAAGUUAUAAACCUAAAAAAAGUUGUAAAAUUUCAAAAUUCUCAGAAAGAAAGCCCCACGUGGCACGGGGGUGAGUCCUAAUAGUACUAAUAAAGUCUUAGUAAUGAACUCAAGCUACUUAGGUCGAUAGUAACUUCUCCCUAAAUUAUUUUUGUUGUCAAAUUUAUUUCCUUGUUAUCUUUACACAAUUCUAUGAGCUUUUUUAAGUGCUCUAGCUUCCAUAUUUAUUAGUUAAUAAAUUGUUAUGGUACUUUCAUUGUUAUUUUUCCAAAAGAUCCAUGUUUAAUUCUUUAUUUGCAAUUAAGCCCUUUCUAUCAUAAUAAAUACCAAUGCAAUGAUACUUACUCAAAUGCGCAUUAUACUUCACUAUAUAUAACUAUAUAUAUAUAUAUAUAUAUAUAUAUAUAUACUCAAAAAUGAAACUUCAUCUGUAAACAUGAUGAAUAUAAAAUUAUAUACUUAAAAGUGGAAGCCAUGUCACACUUUUUUGUUUUUUUAUCAAAGCCCAAGUUGUUAGAGGGGAUGUAGUGUCACACUUGAUGUCAUAAACAUUUUUCAAACAUUGAAAUUGGUCAGGAGCAUAAAAGAUUCAUGAAUGUAUCAUUGUUUGGAAAGUCAGUUUUCAAUUAAAAAAAAUUUCUACAUUUACCAUGAACACAUUUUCCAUCACCUUUUUGCAUUACAUAUAUCAAAUCGUUACAAUAUAUUUUUUAUAAAAACUCCAGAAAAUUGUAAUCCAAACAACACCUUAAUUUUCACAAAGCCGUACCAAACCGAAUCAAAUUUACAAAACUAGAGCCCCACUAAAUGAAAGAAUAUCUCGUUGUAUCAUCUUAUUCACCAAUUAACAACAAUUUCUUUCUGCGAUUGUCCUGUUACCAUUGCUGCGAUGGCAUAUCUUUCCACGCCAGUACGCCACAGCAUAGGUCGCCACGACGUGGUGCACCAUGGGACGGAAUUUUUGGCCAUAAAUUAUUGCAAAUUGGCUUUCAUCGUAGGUGAAUAAAGAUUCCAUAUUCAACCAAAAAAAUUUUAAAAAAUUAGAUAUCCCAUGUGGAAUGUGAAAAACAUCUUCUAACAUGUAGUCAUCUACCAAAGAAAAGUGAAGUGACACCCGGAUACAUUUUUUAUGUUGUAGAUCCAAUGAAUGUCUCGGUUCCUUUUAAGAAGAAAACUGAACAUUUUUUACUCAUUGUCAGGAAGAGGAUAUUUUAUUGAAGUUCUGCCGUUGAAUGUUGAAAUGUGUACGCAGCAAACUCUUUUUGCACAACCAAGAUAAGAUAAGAUACUAGAAAAGUGUCCUAGAAAAUAAUUUUAAUACUCCCUAAUAGGAGACGUUCUUCUUCCUAAUGAGGAACGCAUCAAAAUUGGAGAUGUUCAUGCACAAAGCCAUCAUACGCGUGCAUAAUAGCAAUAUUUUAGAGAUAUUUUGACGUGAGCCAAUGAUAUAUUCUUUUCUUAGUAAUGUUAGUUUCAAUCAUAGUGACGUCGAAAUAUUCAUGAUUAACCUUUUCUGAUGUUGUUUAUUUUAUCUUUAGGACGCUGUUGUCUUUUGAUUGGAUCUUGUUAAUGAAAUUGAUACCUACUGAAGCGGUGUAACCUUUAAUUUUAAGAAUCAAGCCAUGUCUUAUGACAGCAUUUUCUUUUCGUGGUGGGGAACUUUUGUAGGUGCAACAAUCUUCCUAACCUGUUUUUGUUGUCUUCAAUUUUUCCUUCUUAUCAUCACUUAGUUCCUUGUCCUUUCUUAAUGCUUUAACUUGAAUAAUGAUCAGUUAAUCAAUUGUUAAAUAACUUUGCUACAAGAAAAGUGGGAUUUUGCGACGCACUACAACAAACUUUUAAUUGUUGCUUCAACUUUGUCAUAUUACUGUUUUCACGUUCAUAAUUCUCAUGAAUUUCAUCUAGAUUAUACAAGACUUGACCCAAAAAACAACAAAAAACAAUAAGGAUAAUUCUAAAACCCGUUCAAGUCCUCAUAAUCACCGCUGUUUCAACUGGCAUCAGACAACACACGAAACAAGUAAUGGCAGCAGGAAAUACUGAACUGCAGAAUUAAUUGAGAAGUCGAAAAGACUAACUUUGAGUUGUACUCGACAGGCUAAAAGAGAGAAAAUUAUUUGCAACAAAGAACUACAGUAGAAUAGCUCUUUACCUUCUAACGAUCAUUUUGAACUAGCAAAAGCAGCUUUCUUUCCUUCAUAGCAACACCGCGAGUCACUGGAAAUCCGGCUUUACAGCUCCCCUCGAAAACUGAAGCUCAGUCUGGUCAAGACGUACUAUUCAUUGUCAAGUUAAUGAUAGGGUAUAAUUUUUAUAUGAAUAAUCGGUGCACAACGUGCAUGUUAAGCCCUUAAUAUGAAAGGGAAUUACCUAACUUGAUUGUGUUUUUGGUUUUAGGAGGAUUUGAUGCAAAUGAGCUUGGAAUUGCUCGUGAAACUUGAACAUGAUGGUGAAAGCUACCUAACUUGACUAAACGUGUGGAAGAUUGAACUUGAAGAAGAAUGAACGCAAAAAUUGAGGUGGAUGAACGCAAAUAUUGUGCCUUUCCCACGGAUAUGCGCGUGUGCAUGUUGAGGUGGAUUCAUUGGUGCUGGUUCAAAUAUUGAGACAGGCAUCUCGGUGCCCGUGGGGUAUUCACACAGAGUUUCGUAAUCUCUUCCAGCUUUCACCCUGUUUCAUCAGUAUUUUCCACUGUUUCAGAGAAGGUAAUCAAGUGGCCACCGAUUGCUUAUCAAAUGUUGGUUGCAAUGAUGGGAGUGACAGAGUCUAUUAUCAGUUUGCAGAUCUCCCUGCUAGAGCCCGAGGGGCACUUAGAUUGGAUAGGAUUGGUCUCCCUUCCAUUAGAAAAUGCUAGGAUUGUUUGAACUGCUGGGAGGUAAGGUCUGUGUCCCCCUCCUUGGUUUCUUUUCUUUGAUAUAAAUAAAAAAUAAAAGUUUGGCCAAAAAAAAAAGAAGAAGAAUGAACGCAAGUUGUGCGUGACAUGCAAGCUCAGGGUGGGAAAACGAAUUGUGAAGAAAUGCUGCUCAACUUGUCACCGGACAUCCUCUGAAAAUUGAAGAUUUGGAAUUCAUGGAAUGUUCGGUGCUGGACUUGGUCGAAAAUCGCGCAAACUCGCUUUUCUUCAGUUUUAACGAACCUAUUCCUUCUGGGAUUCAACUGGAACUUUAGGAAACUAUACAUAGGAGUACUCAUGACAUUUUCUGGGGGGAACACUUAUCUAAACAUUAGUUCUAAGAUUUUUCUUUAAGAUUCAAGAAUCAAACUAGGAAAUUAAGGCGCGGGAUUUAGAAUAUCAUUAAUUAGGAAGUUCUACAUGCUCUUUAUUCUAAGUCUUGUAUUUUUCAUCGUUGAAUUAAUAUUUACUCUUACUAUUAUGAUGAGCUAAUUUAUAUCUAGGGUUAGAGUUUCGUGAAAGAGUAUUGAUUAUUUAUCUUGGUUAAAUUCUUAACUUUUGCCUUGAUUUAUCUGUUUUGAUUUAAUUACAUAUUUGUAUUUGACCAUCAUAGACAUAUUCUUGAUAAAUGUGGGAUGGGUAUCAAUCUUGAUAUGGUAGAAUUGAUCACCAAGCAAGAAGUGGAGACGUGGUUCCGUACCCAACGGACCUUUCAACCAGGAAAAAAAAAAAAAAAAGAAGAAAGAAAGAAAAAGAGAGAUGAAAAAGAUGCCCCAAAGAUCAAGCAUGUUGUUGAUGACUUCUUUUUUGGCAGAAAUGAACAUUUGGCAUUGAUUCUUUGAUGUCUUUGUUUCGUCAAAACAGCAAUCCACAACACAUCAUAUCAAGGGCCCAGUAAGGGAUUUUAUCACAAUGAUCCAACCUUGAAGAAAAUAAUGGGGAAACAAGGUGUCUGAGUAUGCUAAGGCUAAGGAAUAUGUUUGGUUGCAAUUAUUAAAUGUGAAAAUGAUUUUGAAAAUAAGGGAAAUGAAAAGCAAGGCCAGGCCAGUCCAGCAAUCUAUAAUGCCAAAAACACAAUAAUUUGUAUUCAACUGGUAUCCGUCCAGAAGUAGUUUUGAAGCAAAAGUCAUCAAGAUUAAAACCCAUUUGCCACCCCAAAAGCAGAAAGAUGUGGGAUGUCACACUUGAUAAACAUUUUUCAAACAUCAAACAAAAACAUAGAAAAUUCACCAAUCUGGGAACCUUAGUCUCCCUUUGUUUGGGCCUGCUUCUUUGUGGUAGAAACUCUAUCACUCAUGGAGGAUCUACUACCCACAAAAAAAAGGGUUAAAUGUCACCCGAGUACAUUUUGUAGAAAUGUUUAAUAAAUGUCACCCAAAAUUUUCUUUUCAAAUAAUAUCCUCUCCUGACAGACUGGACAUUUUAGUAAAAUUUCAAACCCGAAUGUCAAUAUGUGUCCAUGGACAAAACUAUAGGGCACCAACCUCAAUGUGUCAAGAAAUUUGUUGUGUUUUUUCUAUUUUAUUAGGCUAGUGUCUACAUUUAUUAUAUUAGUAUUUAUAUCAGUUUUGUAACUGACUUUCUAUAUAUAUUGUACCAUAUUGUCACAACCAAUAACAGCACAAGCCCCUAGUCCGUUGUGGGAGUGGUUUAAUUUUACAUUUUCACUAGUGUGAAUACCCGUGCUACGCACGGUGCUGACAUUAUUGAAAAAAAUAAAAAUAAAAUGAUGAAUAAAAAAAGGUUAAAAAAUUGUACCAACACAAUUAAAAUGUAAUAUUUGUCUAACAAUAGUUUGAAAUAUGAUAAAAUGUGUAUAUCAUUCAAGAACUGCCUUUUUUCGGAAGAUAGAUCCUGAAAAAAUAAUAGAAAUUUAUAUUAGAAAAUGAAUGAUAUAUGAAUAAAAAUCAAUGUAAUUGAAUGUUGUUAAAAUGAAAUACUUACAAAUAUUAUGCAUUCGAUUUGAUAAUCUUGCAUGAAGGUGCGGACAUUCUUCACACCAAUCAACUUUUAGUAUGAAAGUCAAAAUUGGUGAUUUAAUUAAUUCUGUUGAAUUUUGUGUAGUGCGUACUACAAAUGAAUGCACGAUCUUUGUAUGAAUUGAUUUGUUGGUUGAACAACCUAUCACCAUUUUCCUGAGAAUUAAGUACGUACGAAAUUCAAAAUUAGUGUAUUUUUUUACAUAAUUUAUAAAUAGCAUUAUAAAAAAUAAAUAUAUAUCAAAAAAUUUUACCUUCCUUUGUAAUUAUCUGAUAUAAGAAGCAUCACAACCAAAUACGAAGCGUGCAUGUCUGUCUUAUAGAUUAAGAUGCAUGUUACCACUGGAAUCUCUUAUUUAUAUGUUAAUAUUGUACCUGUUUGACAAAUAAAAUGUUAUAUACAAUACAGAAAAUAUGUUGAAAUUAAAAGUAUAUGAAAUUAAUUACCUAACAACAGUGUUGACCACGUCAUUACAAUGCAGACCAAAGUGACAAAGAAUAUGAUAAUGACAAUCUUUUUGUGAUAAGAAGCAUUAACUCUUUUGGCCUAAAGGUACGGAAACUGUCAUCAUGACAAUAUUAAAUACUGUACAUAGUUAUUGAACUCCAAGAAUCCAAACUAAGUCGCAAACAAUCUGAAAAUGUAAAUUUUCUAUCGUAAGAAAUUUCUCAUAUCAAAUUCCAUCAUUUUUGUAUCUGGAGGGAACUUGGUUUCAUCAAAAGUCAAAUACCAAUACUUGUGCCAUAGGGAAAAAGAUGACAUAAAAACAGUGAUGGACAUCUAUUACUCUGACCAUAAAAUAAAUUUUUAUACUUACUGUUGCGUAAUAAGUUGUUAUUGAAUCAUGAGAAAAUGAGUCUAAAAUGAUGACCUAUUGCCUAACAUUUCACUUCUAUUUAAAGAUGAAAGGCAAUCACAGCAAUAAUCAAUCGAAAAUAUUACAUUAUUGGGAAUAAUAUUUUAAAAAAUAAUGGAAAUGCAAAUGUUUAAAGAAUAAACAGUACCGGAAUUUCUAAUUUGAUGCGAACGACGUUUUAAUCGGUGUAGUUAGGAUUUUGUCCUUCGAAUUUGAUGUGAGAUUUCUCUUUCGUCAACGUAAAGUUGCUGAAACUUUUCGAACUACUGUGUGGAAUCGUUGCGGUAUGCGUUUCGUUUUCUAAACAAAUGUUUCCUCCUUUACAAUCUUGCGAGUUUGAAAUUUAGCUGUCGUUAAAAUGCUUGUAGGCGGGCAUGUUCCAUAGUGAAAUUAGGUUAAGGGUUAAAAUGGAUAUCAUAAAAAUGUUGAAGGAGAAAAUAAGUUCUUGGAAAAAAUGCAAGAAAGUUCUCUUAAUUGGAGUGAGCACGCAAGAAAGUUGAAUGAGCAUGCUAUGUUUUGGACAACUUUUAAUUGGAGUGGAAUUCUUAAAUUGAAGGACUCUUAAUUGGAGUGAAAAAGUGAGGGAAAUGUAGGGAAAACAUGAGUAUGAUUAUAGGAUUUUUAGGAGUGGUUAUAGGAUUAGUUAAGAGAUAAACAUCUUAAAUUGGAGAACUCUUAAUUGGAGUGGGAAAAAGUGGGGAAAAUGUGAGCGUGAUUAUAAGAUUUGUAAUAUAGUCAAUAACUUGAUAGUAUACUCAAAUCACCGAUGAGGUAAAGUUUGCCUAAAUAAUUUUUACAGUGUCCUAUUUCCUUGCAAAAAAAAAAAACACUGAAUAGUCCUAAUUGCCAUUGCAAGUCACAGCAACGUGCCAGUGGCAUCUAGUUCUAAUUUUUUUUUUUGGGUCAAAAUCUAGUCAUAAUUGAUUCUGCUAUUUCUUGAUCAUGUUGUAUGCUUCCAAAUUCUAGUUAGCGUGUAAUAAUUGAUAAUGACUUAUUCUAUUCUUUCAUGGUAUUGGACAGGUGAAAACCACACCAGAAGUGUGAUAAAUUUACUAUAAACUCUUAAUAUUAUCUCCCAUAAUUUUUGUAAACUUUUUAAAAAAUUUAAACUUUUGUCAACAAUAGGCUAGUCACGCAAAUAAAAAAAAGGGACUCGUCACACAUCUUAUUGUUUGCCUUAAAGAACUCAAUUUAGCAAUUUUUUUAGAAUAAUGGUGAAAAAAAUCAUAACAAUGGAGGAACCUGGGUUUGUUUCUUUUUUUUUUUUGGGAUAUGAAACAACCCUAUUCAUUUUUAAAAAAAUAAAUUAAUUGGCCAUCUUACGUUCAUUAAGAAAAGGGAAAUUUUUUUUGGUCACUGCACAUGGAUGUCCGACCAUCCUAAAGGAAAAGAAAAAACAAUUAUUCCAUUCUUGCGAUUUUUUUAGGGUUAAAUAUAGUAAGCCUCUUAACUUUACAUUUAGUUGCACUUUACCCCCUCAACUUUACAUUUAGUUGCAUAUUUGUGAUUUUUUUGAAACUUGAUUGUAAUUUGCAAAGUUUAUUUGUAGGUGUGGUUAUAGGAUUAGUUUAGUGAUAAAUAUUUCUUAAUUAUAAAAAUGUAAAAUUGUAUUAAAAUAGCAUACGAAUAAGCAUUUGUAUUUAAUUAAGGAGUAAAAAGGAUUUAAAAUAUAAAUAACAAACUAUAAACGGUUUAUGAAAUAGAUAAUGAAAAAAUUUUAAAUUUUAAAUUUGACUGGUGAUAGUGUUGGUUAUAACCCACUACUUUUUGUGUAUUAAAAUAAAUACAAAAAUCUAGAAAAAAAAAUUAGAAGUUUGGAAGUCAUUGAGUGGCUCUCUCCUAAAAACCCACUCUGUAAUACAUAUAGAUAUAGGGUCCGUUUGUUUCGGAUGAAAAUGUUUUCCAUGAAAAUAUUUUCCUAAUUUCCCGUGUUUGGUUGGACAAAAGUUAUUGAAAACAUUUUCCUAUGUAAAAUAUUUUCACUCAUCUUAUGGAAAACAACUUCCCUUCCAAACUUACUGAAGUUGUUUUCCGAAAUGCAUGCAUCCCGCCUGUAGUAUGUUCCAAACUUGCUGAAAACAUCUAGUAGUAUGUUCUUUUUUUUUUUUUAGUGUAAACAGGAGGAUUCGAACCCAAGAUCUCUUCAUUACACUCCCUCCCCCGUACCACCCAACCCAACCCAACCCUCCCCCUAGUAUAUUCAAAAUAAAAAAAAAAACCUAAUCCUGCUCAUCCUAUGCUAGUAAUUAAUUAUGUAUAAUAGGGACAUUCUUUUCUAGAGAAACUUUCAGCAGUGAGAGUGCAAGAUAUAUGUCACAAUAAGGAUUGCAUGUGAUUGAUAUUUGACACUAAAUGGCCAGCAAUUUGUUUAUUGCUUAAGAAGAUAUUUUUUAUUCAUAUAUACAUUUCUCCAAGAUUUUUUAAAGUUAAACAAUGAGAUAAAUUUUCUUAUUUUGCAUGGAAAGAAGUAUGUAGUUAUAAUGUGUAGAAAGUAAAGAUAGAGAUAAAAGUGAAAAUAUUUCAAAAGUUAAACAAACACCAGAAAAAUGAAGUAAGAAAAUAUUUUCAAUAAACUAACCAAACACCUGAAAAUGAUGAAAGGGAAAUGAUUUUCAUGGAAAAUUACUUCCACGGAAAAUAUUUUCCCAAGGAAAACAUUUUACUUCCAACCAAACAGACCCAUAGAUUUGUAUAGAUGAUCUAUAAGAGUAACAACUUCAUAUAUUGUGAAGCCAAGCGAUUUGAUCACAGAUCUCAACUUUGCUUUUACUAGUGUUAUAAGAUAGCAUCCAAGAACUGGAAAUUUUAAAUAUAAUUAUCACAUUUUGAAAGUGGGGCUCAUGAAAUCAAGUAGAUGCAGAGGUGUGAUGUCUUGGAGCAGUGAUUCGCAAGCUUGUCUAUGCCUGGCGAGAAGUGACAUAAUAAAAUUGAAAAGCUGGGAUGUCUGGAAAAAAUUUAAAAGCUUUUAGCAAUGUUUAUCAAGAAAAAGUGAUUUGAUGGGCACACUCGUUAGAUAAUCUUGACGUAAUGAAGUUGAAGAGAACACUACUGCUAUGAAAAUUAAAUUGGGAAAACCGUUCAAAAAAUUUCUUGCAUUUUGCCAAAUGAAUUUUUUCAUCAUUCACUUUUAAAAUGUUAAUUUUACAUCCCUUACAAAUUCAAAUAAAAAAAACUUGAUUCUAAUCUAGGUUUCUGACUACUUUCAUCAUGAAUCCAUCAUGUAACUCAUAUGUGAUUAUUUUUUAGGGGCAAAAAGAUUAGUUACUAUUUGUAGUUAAAUAAAUGACCCAAUUUAUAUUUAUUUUUUUCUCUAAAAAUUUGGAGUCUGAUUUAAACUAUAUUCAUUUUUUUUCCUAAAAAAUUAAGAUCUGACCCAAUUCAUAUUCAUUCUUGCCCCUAAACAAAUGGGCUAAUUUCUUAAAUUAUUAAAAAAAUUCGGCAAAAUCUAGUAAGUGGUGGAUUUGUUCUUUAUUUAAGGGUACCUAUAUAGUCAUACCUUAUGUACUACAUGUGGCACCCAAAUACUUUUUUCUAAUUUUAAAUGUUUUUAAAAUCUUACUUUAUUUUUUUUAAUUUUCAAAAUAGGGGCCACACGUACUAUAUUGCAAAAAAAAAAAUUAAAAACAUGGGGGCCGUGGUUAUUUAAUUAGGUGCAGUUCGGUUUGCAUAUAUAUAUAUAUAUAUAUAUUGUUAGGUGCUUUAGUUUCUGCCUUGUCCCUUUUGAUGAUGCAUCAUACCAAACUUCGAUACACAUCCUUUUCUUUUCUUUCUUUUUUUUCCUUUUUCCCAAAAAAAAAAGUGAUCAAGUUUUAAACAAAUAAUCCUUUUUGUUUCAUUUUUCUGGAAACUAAUUAAUUGUAUGAUCAAUAUAAUCGUACUAGCUACUGUUAAAUUAAUGUUUUAGCUUUACUUGCUGUUUGAUUAACAAAUGGCAGCAAAUUAAGGCAUCAACUGGGUGAGGUACGAAGAGGAUCAGUGGAUUUGGUCAUUUGUUUUGCAAUAUAUAUUAAAAUAUAAAGGCGGCUGCCGCAACUAUUCAGGUACGUGCAUAAACGUGGGAUGAAAAAAAAAAUGUGAAAAACAAUGAAAUUAUUUGAAUGGGUAAAUUAAAAGCCCCGGGGUUAGUGCGACCGGUCCAGUAGCCUCCUCUUCAGGAGCAAGGUCCUGUGUUCGAUUCUCUUUCCAUACCGCGCUGAAAUCCUUGGGACGGGCUCUUCCAGCCUGGGGGAUUAGUCUGGUCAUUUGACCAGGAUAACCCCAGUUGAUAAAAAAAAAAGGGUAAAUUAAAAGCAAAUCCUGCCCCCAAGAAAUAAUUCAAAGCCAAUGCAUGUGGCCCCUACAGAUUAACCUUAUCAAACUUGACCAUGUCUAUAAAACCGCCACUGGACUACUGGAGUUCAUUGUCAUACCCUAACUUGCUAUUCAGCCCUGAUGGAAAGCACUUGGCUACUCUUAGCCUUGGCAUGGCUGGUUGCAUUGGCUUUUCUCUCAAAAGCAUUCACUCACAAACGCCUCAAGCUAAAUCAUCCACCUGGACCAAAACCAUGGCCUAUUAUUGGCAACCUGAACCUCCUCGGUUCAAUCCCACAUCAAUCCUUGCACUUGUUGUCCCAGAAAUAUGGAGAAAUCAUGCAACUAAAACUUGGUUCCAGCCCUGUUGUAGUAGCUUCAUCCCCUGAAAUGGCAAAAGAAUUCUUGCAAACGCAUGACAACAUAUUCGCCUCUCGGCCUACAACUGCUGCUGCCAAAUACACUAGCUACAACUGCUCCGGCAUGUUAUGGGCACCAUAUGGUCCACACUGGCGACAAGUUCGUAAAAUUGGUCUAACCCAAAUAUUAAGUCCAAAACGACUUGACUCCUACGAGAGCAUACGCAUUAAGGAAAGGCAUGCUUUCAUGUCUCGUUUGUAUGCUCUCUCAGGAAAGCCAGUAGUUUUGAGAGAUCAUCUAAUCCGUUUUACACUCUCCGCUGCAAGCCAAAUGGUUUUGAGUAACAAGUACUUUGCCCAAUCUGAAGGGGAUGGAUCUGUAGUUACCUUUGAAGAACUCCAAGAGAUGAUAGAUACCUGGUUUUUGCUGGGUGGUGUGUUCAAUAUUGGGGAUUGGAUUCCGUGGCUCGACAGAUUUGACCUCCAAGGUUACGUAAAGCAAAUGAAAG
rnacentral:lncRNA from 1 species